rnacentral:lncRNA from 1 species
CUGUGAAACUGUACAUAUUAUUAUUAUUAUUAUCUACUAGCUAGCUAGCUUAAUUCUGAAGGACUGAAGGAGUGUACGCGUACAGGCCGGUGAGAAAUUACAUAUUCCAAAUUAAUUAAACCGUAUAGCUAGUUAUACGGUACGUGAUAAUAAUGUACACCUGUAUCACUUUCUCUUAUCCCAACCUCAUCUAUAUACUACUAGCUACGAAGGGAGAUCAUCAAUUGACGACGACGAUGUACCGUAUUUAUUAUCUACGGUACGAGAGCGUCGUACGUCUCCGAUCGAUCCCCUUUCGAUGUAUACAUACAUAUACUCACUCACUCACUCACUCACGGCGUACGCAUCUGGGAGUAGCAUCGAUUGGAUAUACUCCCAGCGGUCGCAAAGCAAGCCCCACACACAUACCGUACAUAUACAUACAUGCUAUACGUAUACGUACUUACAGACAUAUACGGCGGUCCGUGUAUAUACGUACGUAAUACGGCUCGAUCUCUCUCGUCCCAGCAGCAGGCACCAGCUACCUAGCUAGCUUCCGUUGAUGAGCUAGACUAGACUAGAAGCUGAUGGGGUAGACCCGCUGCAUGUUUGGGUAGAAGAGGCCCCAGUUCUGCUCCACGCCGCUCUCCUUCUGGUUCUCGUUGAACAUGGAGAAGAGGUACGUCUCGAUGGCGCCCGGGUGCCUCGGCGUCCCUCGCCGGACGUGGUUCACCAGGUACUGGUUGUACACCCUGGCGUUCGCCGGCGUCGCCUGCACGCCGCCGCCGGACGGCCACCCGCUCUCCGACACCACCAGCGGCACGCCGGAGCCUCCGUUCCUGCCCAUGGCGACGUAGAAGGCGUCGACGGUGGUGUCGAAGAGGUUCUGGUACCCGUACGCGCCGUCCUGGACCACGGUGCCCGACGCCGUGAAGAGCGCGUAGCUCAUGUCCAUGGCGCUCGGGUUGUACGCCCAGGCCAGGUACGGGUAGAUGUUGGCCAUCAGCGGGGAGCCCGUCCGGGACAGGAACUGCAGCACGGGGCCCAUGAAACCCUGCGCCUCCGCCGUGAACUGCGCCGCCGACGGCGGGCUGUACACGCCGAGGAUGGCCUGGGAGACCGACGUCGUCACCUUGAUGUGGCCCAGCCCCGCCGCCGCCAGCGCCGCGUGCACGUUCUCCAUGGCGGGCGCCAGGUUCUGCGCCGCGCCGCCGGCCACCUCGUUGCCCACGCACACGUAGCGGAAGGAGACGGAAGGGUACGCCUGGAUGUUGUUGCGGACCCACGACGCCGCCGCCGCCGGGCUGCCAGCGAUGGAGGACAGCACGUCGUUGGGGGCGCCGACGGUGACGCUGAUGCCCGAGCCGCCCACGGCCUGGAGCGCGCCCUGGUCCGGCGCGUACAGCCGCAUCGCCGUGAUGCCGUUCGACUUGUACAUGCUCACCACCGUGCUCGCCGGCGGCAGGUUGUUGGCGCUCAUGCCGUAGCACACCCCGAUGGCCUCAACACCUGCACGUGUACGUAUACACCAAUAUAAUUAGUUAAUGAUGUAACUCUUCUCGGUAUAUAUAUAAAAAGUAAUCAAUAUUAAUAAGCCCGUUCUUAUUAUUAACUACUGGACCUUAUUAUUAAUUGAUUAAUUAAUUAACCACGGUAAAUUUGUUAUUAUUUUCACCGUCCCAGAUAAUAAUGAAUGAAAUGAAAGAAAGUGUGCAGAUACUAAUUAAUUAAAACUAAACAAGAAGCAGGUCGGCGAGCAGAGGCGGUGUAUGUAGAAACACAACCGCGGCCCUUUUGACCCUGUGUUUCCUAACCCUUGAGGAAAGCGACAUUUAACUGAAAAUUUGUAUCUAACUGAUCAGGCAUCUCCUAACAUGCUUAUUCAUGCUUCUCUCUAUUUAUAUUAUAUCUGUAGGGCUCUUUUAUUGCUGAUGUUACGUGAAACCAUUUUUUUAAUCUUUUUUUUUUUUUUACAGUGAGUCUCAGUUUGUGUCAAAUGCACGCAGACACCGCCGAGGAAUAUUUUGCCAGUGUCUUAGGACCGGGUUGUCGCUGCGUGGAAGAAAGUACUCCAGGAGAGUAAGUGGAUUAGCUCGUGGCGACCAAGCUAGACAGCAACCUUAAACAACGGAAUAAACUUUGACCUGCUGCGGAGUGAGUGACUGAGUGAGUGCAACUUUUGAGUUAUUAGCUGACCCUGCCCACUCUGUUUGCAUUGGUUCACAUCCUAGUUCUACAUUAACUUUAACUUUGCAGAAAAAAUGCCGGAAAACAGGUAACCUUUACUAAUGGUUUUUUCUUCAAAAAAAAACCUUACUAAUGUUUUAUCCUUUUGAAAAUUGGUAAAAGGUUUUUUUAACAGGCGUGCAAGCACGGCACUAUUAUUAGUCAACCUAGGAAAUGGAUUAGGAAUUAUAUGCUUAGAGAGAGAUGGAGAAGUAGAGGACCACAUGAUGCUAGAGAAAGAGAGAGGAUUGGAUGUAGUAGUGGGGACGGAUAAAAAGCUCUUGGUCCAACGUCCGCACCACGACCGUUGGAUAGUCCACGUAUGAUCGAUGUGGAUCGCCAAAGCCGUUAGCUAGCUAGCCUACCCGCCGCCCCGUGCGUAUCAGGGCUAACAACUGCCUAGCUAGCUCUCUCACGCAUACCUUUUUAUUUGUAUUUGUAUGUAUAUAUACAUAUAUAUAUAUAUAUAUAUAUAUAUAUUAUUCUGUUUCUUUGAAUUAUUGGUAGAGCUUAUAUAUGCCUCUGUCGAGAGAAAAGAUUGAUGUGCACGUACUGCAGAUGACAAAUAAAUUAAAGAAUCCUGAUUAGACGACCAAGACUACUCAUCUGCUCGUAUAGCAACCUUUAUGAUUUGCACCUGGUCGAAAACUAGCUCUACUAUUCAUCCAUUAAUCUAUAUAUCUAUGUAUCCAUUAUUAAUACAAUUUAGUCUAAUCCCCAAUGCAAGUGAGUCGGUUGGUCGUGCUGCAUGGAUGCAUGGCUAGCCGGACCAGCUAGCAGCACCAUUAAUUCGAUGAUCAUCCUCCACCACCAGCCGUAUAGUAUAGUAUAGCUAGCUAAGCUAAUCAUGCAUGCAUCAAGCUUGAAGAAUGGAGCAGCUAGCUGUGCCGUACGUGUGUGCACACGCACGGCAGCGCGCUGUGUAGCAGAGACGCCGGCCGGCCGGCCGGUGCGGCAUCAUGCGUCGCCGUUGACGAAAUGUCAAGCAGCACCUAGUGACCGACGACGCGACGCCGGCCGGCGAACCGACCGAGAUGGAGUGGAGGGGAUCGAUCGAUCGACCCAACAACGGAAAAGGAUGGCCUGGCCGGCCAGCGACGGGUUAAUUGGUUUGUUGCAUCGCUUGUUGGUUGCUAGUGUAGCAUGCAGCAGUGUCGUCGUAGAGUGGUUGCACCGAAUCCCUUCUCCUCUCAUCAGGAUCGAAUCAUGCACCAUCAUCGAUCGGCGACCUAUAGGCUAUCCUAUCCAGGUCAGGAAGAAUUUGAGCAGUGGUAGCUAGGGCUAGCGGCGUCAACAGUAGCGGCACAGAGAAAAGCUUGCACGCAUGCAUGGAGCAGAGAGAGAUAGAUCACUACUGCUGCCGGCAGGGUUAACUUUGUGACUGAUGGUUUAAGAAAGAUGCAUGCAUGGGUUAGGAGGCAACUAUAGUACUCCUAAGCUGCUAGCUAGCUAAAGUGACGUGAGCGUGCUCACCGAACAAAUUUAAAGGCAGACUUCAUUUGCAAGCUUAAUUGUAUGUUGCAUGCAUGCCCCAGCAGAGAGCAGGGACAUACAGUAACUUUACUAGCCUCCAUAUUUCGCCGUCAACUUUCUGUGCUUUAGCCUUUAGAUGCUAGCUAGCCGGCCAGAAACAUCGUUUUCUAGGUGAUUUAUAAAGAUAUUAAUUCCCAGAGGAAUGAACAGUAUAUAUGCUUAAAGAUAUUGUUCCUAUAUAUCCAACUUUCUUUUUUGUUUGGAAAAAUAAAAAUGUACUGACCUAGUAUAAGACUACAUAUAUGUAUUUUUCCUCUGCUGUAAAAAAAACUAAAAAGACAUAUGCAUGUUCCCCUAAAUUCCACUUUGAUGUCUACCUGCUGCUGCUGCUGGAGACCCGGUUCAGCAUGCACGUGAAAGCAAGUUUUGCAAGCAAAGAAAACAAUAAUAUAUAGUACUAGUCCGGCCAGAAGCAAGCCGGCCGGCAGUCAAAAUUUGGUUUCCUUGAUUUUCUCAAGAAAGUGACUGGCACCAAGAAACUACUACUACUGUUCCAUUGGUGCAGGAGUGAUCCAUGGGGAGUGAAGGAGACGCCGUUUACCCCUUGUGACCUAGACAGAAUAGAUAAAACGCAGACAGAUCGAAAGCGACGGGCACCACCAAAUGGACCGGGCGGUUUUGACGGCUAAAGGGAUCCUUUGCAUGACGUUGUUGAUGAGAGAGGGAUGUGUGUGUGCUUCUGCCUCGCUCCUAUAUUAUCUACUAUUCACUCUCAUGACAUGGCAACGUAACUAAUUAAUCUUUUAAUCAAACCCCGUCAUUUUUUUUUCAAGAUGCAUAAACAAAAACUGCUACAUACCCUAGCUAAUCAUUUUUUUUCAAGAUGCAUGCAUGCACGAUAGAGAGAGAGAGAGAGAGAGAGAGAGAGAGAGAGAGAGAGAGAGAGAGAGAGAGAGAGGUAAUCACUUUGUGGGAUGGAUGCAAAGACGCCGAGGAGCAAUGCCAUGGCGAACAUGGAGGCUACACCUUGCCUGCUUGCCAUUCUCUCUCAACCUCUCUAUCUCUGUUGCCUAUAGCUUGAAGGCUGGUGGUAGCAGAAGGCCGGCCAGCAGAGCACUCUCUUUCGUGGCUAUGCUAACACGUCUCUCCAAGAAGACUCUAUGUGUUUCUCUCUUGGUCUUGGCUUUGUGCUGAAUUGUGUUUCCUUGACGAAACAAGUGUUGGCUGAAGGCUCCUUAUAUAGAUGCCGAGGAUCGAUCGGAGAGGUGGACAGGGUUCGGUCCAAUCCAAUCCACUUGAAAACCCCAAAUGGUCCGGCCGGCCUCUCGGCCCUCUCCAUCCAGCAGCAGCCAACAUUAGUUUAGCCUAUUCCUAUUGACGAGAGCCGUUUGCUGCUGGCGUCACGAGUCCCACAGUGUCUGGUAGCCAGAGGUUAUCCGGUACACUAGGUUGUUGUGACUUGUGACUAGGGGGGUUCAUCUCAUACCAAACUACUUUUGAAAAACAGGGUUUAAAUUUUUCAGGAGCCAUGAUGUCCGAUGAAAGGGAAGUUUUUAGGUCAACCGCGAGGACGCGGCGCGCCGAAUCGGUGUUCUCGACGUAGGUUCGUCGUUGUUGGCGAGUGUGCACGUCUUACUCAGGGAACAUUCGGCACACGUGUGUCGGUUUUUUUUUACGAUAAUUUUUGAAGUUUUAUUACAAGUCGUCAUGGCUUGACUAUUACCUAGGUGACUUCUUUAGGGAAUUCUAAGACUAUGAUGUAGCUAUUGCAUAAUCUUUUCUCAUGAGGUCAUCUAGCUAGAUAUUUUCUUACACAAUCGCGAUCAAUCCAUUAAGGUAGAGUUUAACCGCUGUCCUUGUGGCAUCUACCUUUUGUUGUUCUCCUAUAUUUGUCAAUGAACAAUAGCAAGUCGCCUUAUCUAUAACUUCAUUUAUAGAUUCCAUAAAUCUAUUGUGAGAAAUUCAUAGUUCAAAUGAUGACAAAACUAGUGUGUAUUUGGUGUACCUAAUUAAUAAUCUCUUAUGAACCAAAGAAUUACUUGCACCACUUUAAUGAGUAUUAGGUGCUCCAUGGAGUCCAAUAUGCCCAUGUAUACAACUUUUUCAGAAGACUAGUUCCACUUGAGUUGGUGAAAGGUUUAUCAAAGGAGAUUGAUUGAUUUGAAUUUAUCAUCAAUAUAAAAAAUCCAUAGUUUCUUUUCAAAAAAAAACUAAUUAAUAAUAAUUCUAGAAUUAUUUGUAGUCACUAAGACAGAAUAAUACAACUAACUUCUAUGGGUAUAUACCAGGCCGGCCGGUUACGAUUCUGUUGGUAUACCAUAUAUUCUUCUUCUCGUAUGCUAUUUGCAACCCUGAACGAACAACGAACUGGCUUGCUCUACCAUCCAACCGUUAAAAUUUUUAUAAUGAUAACCUGAUCUGUGGAUAGGAAGGCACAUGCUGUUGCUAUCGGUGUGGAGUCCCGUUAUGCAACUGCUUUCUAGUAUAACUACUAAUGAAGAGAAAAAAAUUAGGUGUACCAAAUUGGUUCACACAACAAAUGCAGCUGCUAGGCUGAUCCAUAUAUACUCAUGUACAUGUAUAUGCGAGUAAUUAAUAAAGUGAUACACAGUUAAGUCGUUUUAAACUAGAGAUAUAUUCAACUCCAGUAAUGAUCCCUGAUGGAUUAUAUAUUUAGGAUAUGAAGAAGCUUCCUAUUACUCACUUUAAUUUCAAUGAUUGAAAGGCGGGCUUAUUACAUAUAGCAGCCUCUACCUUUUUGACGUACAUGCAUGUCAAUGCGAACUGGUCUAAUGAAGGUUCAGGCAUGUGUUUUAUACAGUUAUACACUGAUUAGAGUUAGUUAAAUGGCACCUAAUGCAAUUGAAGCCAAAUCCAAAAUUUCUUUGAUUCGCAGACAUCUUUUGAAGUCACUACCAUGUUAUUCAAAGGACAAGUAGGAGCUUGUAACCAAAUUUGUCUAUGUGUUCACAGAACCUAUUUUUUUAAUACCCACUAGUUACAUUUUUUUAUUUGAAUAUGAUCGAAGACUCGUAGUUACUCGAGGAUUAAUUAUAUAUAUUGGAUAAACGGGAUAUAUUAUGGAGUCAUGCAUUAUAAUUACUUAACUGGCAUGUCAAUUUGACAUGUCAUUUUAAUCUAGUUACUAUACAGGCACUUUUCAUAGAUAGUUUAUAAAUAUCACUUUUAUUUUAUAAAAGUACAUCAAUCAAGUUUAGAAAGAGACCUUACAAUUGCUUUUUUUUCAUAGAAACACUUUAGCCACAGACACUAACUUAAAUCUCUACGAUCGAGAGAUACGACGACGACGACGACGACGACAUAGAUGGCCACCGGACCCUGGUGCUAAUGGCCAGGCACGCAAAUAGGAUUCCUGGACAAUAGACCACUCAGUCACUCUGUUAAUUAUCGAAUUGAACAACAUGUCUGUCGAUCUGGUUGUCGUCUGUCUAUGUAUGCAUUCAUAGACACGAUGUAACCAAGACACACACACAUGUGUAUCAUGUAUGGCUAGAGCCAUCAUGUAUAUUGUAUCGUGUAUAUUGGUGGCCGGAGCAAUUUCGUGGGAGUUGGUUAUCCAGCGCUUUUUUGCUUACGUGGAUACCAAGUCACCCCUUGUCCUAUCCAGGGGCAGGGCGGGCCUGGAUGGAUGGGAAGCCGAGUCGGACGGAGGGUCCGGACGGUCCGGUCCACCUGGAAAGUUCCGCCCUAUCCACAAGUUUCUUUUGCUUAUGUGGACGCAGGAGAGCAACGUGUCCUGUCACCGUUGCGCCAUUGUACUAGUGCGGCUGCUGUGGCUCCACCUGCGUGCGUGUGCUGCUUCGUGCACGGCCGCCCGCAUGUUUGCCGGGCGGCAGGCCUACGUGUUGGUUCCAUCCGUGUAUGAGCCAACAAUGCAAGCAGAGAGGUGUCUCUUUCGGAGGGGCAUGCAGCGGGAUCGGAGAGGACCAUAAACAAAUCGGCACAGGCACUGUGUGGCGACAUUUUUCAUUCCAAGGAUUUUGAUUGGCUGACAAUCAUCGUCCUAGCAAGCUCUUCAUUCUGGAAACGUAGGAUCAAGCUUAAUUGGAAAUGUGAAGAUAUACAAGGCCCCGUUUAGCACAGGCUUUUUUUAGCAGUUUUUAUAAGAUGUUUGGAGUUGUUUUUUCUUUCUUUUUUUUCAAAUUAAAUGGGUUAGUUAAAAAGGAGCAGCUCUUCGAGUGGGACCUCCUUAAACUCGGUCACACAAGGGAUGGGUAUAGUCAUAUGGGACGUCGAAUAAAGCUGAAAAAAUAUUAGCUUCUCUCCUAUAGCUAUCUUUCUCUACCCGAUCUACUAUAAGGUCUAUUUAGCAAACAUUUUUUUAAAAAAAAAGACCUUCAACUCUGCAAGAGAAGUUGUUCAUGUAGCUUAGACCUUGUUUAGUUGUAUUUUUUUUGUAAAAUAGACACUGUAGCACUUUCGUUUGUAUUUGAUAAAUAUUAUUUAAUUAUGGACUAACUAGACUCAAAAGAUCCGUCUCGCAAAUUACAAGCAAACUAUAUAAUUAGCUUUUUUUAAAUAUAUAUAUUUAAUGUUCUAUGCAUGUGCCGUAAGAUUCUAUAUGAUAGGGAAUCUGAAAAAUUUGUAAAAAUUAUAAUAAACAAAACAAGGCCUUAGCUCAAAAAAUAAAAAAAAAACUGCUUUACCGGUGAGCCAAGUAGUUAAGAGCUUUUUUGCUUGUAUCUUUAGGCUAUCUGUUUCUUUUGCUUUGACCGCGUAAAACCCUCUUUUGUGCCUUUUUUUUAGCUUCACCUUUUCUUUUUAUUAUUUCCUAGCUAGCACUCUUCUCGCCUUUAUCAAUAUAUUUUCUCGGCAGAAGUCUGUUCACUGUCAACGAUGAUCUCAAGCUCAACAAUCUCUCAGAGCUGCUCGUAAUAAGGUAUCCCCUCUAUCUCCUUUUAAGUAUUCAUGCUGGUCAAACUUUCUUAAAGUAUUCAUGCUGGUUAAACUUUCUGAAAUUUAGUGUCUGGUUACGGGUGGUAAAGUUUACUGUCCGUCACAUCGAAUAUUUGGACAUAUGCAUAAAGUACUAAAUGUAGACUAUUUAUGAAACUAGAGAGUAAUUUGUGAGACGAAUCUUUUGAGCCUAAUUGGUCCAUGAUUGAACACUAAUUACCAAAUAAAACAAAAAUGUUACAGUACCUGUUAAAUUUUAACAACCCCAACCAAACACCCUCAUAAUUAUGUUUGUAGAAAAUAUUAACAAUAUUCAUAUCUUUAAUUAAGUUUAUUAUGAAAAUAAAUUCAAUGAUCUAUCAAUGAUAUUAGUUAGUAUCAUAAUUUUUAAUAUUUUCUUUUAUAUAUUUGAUCAAAGUUUGGAAAAUAUAGAAGGCCAUUUAUUAUAAAAAAUCAAAGAAAGAAGGACAUAUUUGCCCAUCUAAGUAUAUAUAUUGCUCACUCGCUGUCUCUCCUCCUUACAUCUAAGCGUAAUUAUGUUAGUUGGGGGCAGCUCUAGUUGUCGAUCUCGAUCAAGAAGCUAGAAAAUUGGAAAGAAUAAAGGGUGUAUACAUAUAUUUACGAGGGGCCAGUAGAGCCUAGUAUACUUGAAAGGCCGUCCUGAAUAAGUUUAUCUUUAUCUUGCUUAUGUGGACGCGAUGACAUAUCUUGUCCUGUCAGUAGAGAUAGCUACACGCAGAGCGCGGCCGGCGCGGCUAGCUAGUGACUGGUAACGAUGGCUAAAGCCGGCCUGCUGGGAAUUCCCCUCACGCUUUACAUACUCCUGGCGGCUCCGUGAUCAAGUGGUUAUCUUCUUCUUGUUGUUGGACUAGAUGAUGCAUAUACUGUGACGACGAUCGAUUCUAUACAAAAUAUCAGCAAUUUGCAGUGCUUUCAUUCCAUGUCCUUUUGCUCUUCUUAUCUUAAUAAGAAAUGUCAUUUUUGCUCUGGUUACCAACAAGUCAUUGUUGCUCCUGACCUGUGCUGUUUUAAUUAUUUUACUCGGUUCAAUGCAUUUUCUCCAAAUAUACUACAUACAUACGUACAUACAUACAUACAUACAUACAUACAUACAUACAUACAUACAUACAUACAUACAUACAUACAUACAUACAUACAUACAUACAUACAUACAUACAUACAUACACCGGCAGAUGAAUGCAUGACAAGAGCUCUAGACCGGGAAAGUAAAGUUUAUCUUUAGGGGUAUAUGUCCUCACAUUAUGCACCACACGUGCACACCUCUCAAUGUGAAACGUGUGGUGUAUAAUAUGAGAGUAUGCACACCACACACACCCCACACAUUAUUACUAUUUGCAAUGAAAAUAAUAAAUCAGCUACGAAAAGAGUAUAAAAAAGCGCAGGAGGAGGGGGCGGCCUUCUCCUUAAUUAGAGCCACAAAAAAAUAAAAUGCAAAAGCCGCCCAUGCGCCCACACACACACCCCACACAUUGUUCUUUUUCCAUAAAAAAAAAUACGAGAGGCCCAAAAGCAAGACAGUACUCCUACAGUAGCUAGCAGCAAUGAAUGAAAAGAGAAAAAGUAUAGAAAUUAACGAGAGAGAAAAAAAAUAAAGGAAUAAUCGAUCUAGUGGUGGAGGAUAAAAUAAAAAUGAAAAAGAAGAAGAAUAUAUAUGUCACGGUUGAGGACCUUGUUGUAUUACAUGAUCAGACAGGGACCCACCACUGUUAUAGCUGAUAAGUGCAGCAGUUAAUAGCUAAGGUGGACGGGUCAUGGACUACUCAUCAUCAUCGAUCUAUCGGAUCAACACGCACGGCCGGAUAAUAUACGGAUAGACAAAACGCACAGGCCGGCCCGGCUAUAUAGCUAAAUCAGGGGCAGACAAAGGUUGUUAUCGAUUGAUCCGACUGAGCUGAUGGAGCUUACGUUACGUACGUGUUUCCACGCUUCCCAGAAUCUUUGAACGCUAUAGUCUAUAGUCAUCGAUCGAUGGCUAGUAAAAAAAUCUCCUACUCCUGUCACCACCGGUACUACUAGCUACUAGCUCACAGCCACAACAGAGAGAGAGAGAGAGAGAGAGAGAGAGAGAGAGAGAGAGAGAGAGAGAGAGAGAGUUCCAGGAAUCCUUCUCGCCAUCUCCAUCUCGUCCAUCGCUGCUGCUGCUAGUUUCCGUGUAGUAGUAAGAACCGGGAGAGGAUACGAUCGGAUAAGCCACAGAAACAACUUGAAGCCCCUGCUGCUUUGGGUAAGAUAAGAGUGAGAUAAGAUUUCCACGUCGACACUAGCUAGCUACUUUUAGUUUUUACUACCACACAAAUAAACACGUUAUUAUUAACUAGCUACUAGGAGGAGUACAUCAUAUACUCCUGUAUGAUAAUUAAUAUAUACUCCCAUCCCAUGCAUGUACUAUGUAUAUAUGUGCAUGCAUGAUACUGGUACGCGCGGUUCAGUAGCCACUGCAUGCAUGUGUGUGUGUGUGUGUGUACUGUGCAGUGCUGGCAGCAUGUACUGCAAGCUAUAUAUAUACGAUGACGAUGAGCAUGCAGGUCGAGGUCGUAUACACAUUGCAUGCAUAUGCAUGCAUUGGUCAUCCGGAUAAAUGCUUCACAUUCCAUCGGGAGUUCACAGUUAAAUCGUUUUUUGGUUAUGUUUAUUGCUUGACGUGGACACACUGUUGACGAUGAGCAGCUGAUGAUCAGCUAUCAUGCAUAUGUGAACACGAGCUCUCGAUCAUCGUCGUCAGACGAGUUGAACACGUACAGCAACGCCAAAUGGAUAAGAUUUCCGUGUCACCUAGAGGUGCUAGCUAGGAGUAUAUACUGUACCCUGAGGUUAACAACGAAUAUAAUUGAAGGGACAGGGACAGGCGGACAGCAAGCAGCAUCCAUUGACCCAUGCGCAUCAAGAUGACGGCCGGCCGUUGCUUCUUGAUUUGGCCUGCCUGCCCGCUGCGGAGGGUCGCGCGGCGACUCACGGCGACGCCCGAUCGACGCUGACGUUGUUUUGUAGGACAGUACCACAAGUAUGUAUGAUGGAAGGACGGACCAAAUGUCGUAUACUCCUAGGCCUUGUUUAGUUCCCAAAAAAUUUUGCAAAACUUUUCAGAUUCCCCGUCACAUCGAAUCUUUAGACGUAUGCAUAGAGUAUUAAAUAUAGAUAAAAAUUAAAACUAAUUGCACAGUUUGGUCGGAAUUGACGAGACGAAUCUUUUGAGCCUAGUUAGUCCAUGAUUGGACAAUAUUUGUCAAAUACAAACGAAAUUGCUACAGUGCUAAUUUUGCCAAAAAUUUUGGAACUAAACAAGGCCCUAUAUGUGAAAGUGAGAGGAAGAUCCAUCGACCAUCAUCUAUAGGAGCUCCGUAGUCCUUGAUACUAGCUACGUAGUAGCUAGCUAGCUACCUAGUCAGUUAUAUGUGUGAAAAAUGUGUGAAAGGAACAGAGGACCAAGGGAAGAAAAGGUUUCAAAGUUUGGCAUGUAUUGUAGAAUAACGCCGUAGUUUGUUGGACUAAGUUUUGUACUCUAAUGUUGAGAGUGUGGCAAAGUGCAUGCACUUAUGUGGCAGGCCGCAGGCUCUCUUGAGCUUUGUUUUUUCAAACAUGUAACAUCGAUAUUACCUCAUUCAUCAUGAACUUGCUUACAAGACUCCACUUCUAUUGAUUAAUUUGGAUCACGACGACUAGUAGCAGUAGUAGUAGGUGUAAGUCUUGAUCCUUGACGUGUGUUCGAUCCAUAUGAAGUCAAAUUUCGUGCCACGUAAAUAAACAAAAUAUAUAUACCAAAGGAAAAUAAAAAACACCUAAUUAAACUGCUGCAUUGGGGAGAUGAUAUACGUUUCCAAAUUCUGUUGAAUCACUCGUCAGACUUAUUGAGGUGCAAUACUUUAAAGUGAGAGUUGGUACGGUGGUGCAUUUGGUUCUCUCGUUUACACACUUCCUUCCCUUUCAUCCAUAUAAACCACUCAAAUAACUAAUAUAAUGUUACAUCUCCAAGAUAAACAAAAAUAUUUUUUCUUAGCAAAAUUUAAGCUUAUCCCGACGAACUAGCUAACUCAGUCUUGCAAGUUGCCUUAUGUACCUACUCAUCGUCUCACUUCUCUUGGUCACCACUAUGGAAAAUGACUACAAUCUUAAUUAGUUCUGGGAGUGCACCCAAUUUGGAUGCAAGUGGUCAAUAUGAGGCACAAUAUACGGCGGGCUGAGGGCUAUACAGCCUAAUGUACUUUUCAACUACGUUGAAUCACUUGUCUAACUUUAUAUAGAUGCAAUAAUUUAGGUUGUGUUUGGUUUGAGAUGAGGUGAAAUAAAACAUUUUUGUCUUAGUUUUCUAGGAUGGGUUGAUAUUUUUAUAGAUAAUAUGGAAAUCGUUACAGCUUCAACCUUCAUCAGAAACAACGACUAGUCCGAAAUAAGAGAUAGCUGCAGCUGCAAAACUCAGUCACAAUAUCUCUAAGACCGUUAUGAAAAUAAGUUCUACACUAUAUUGACCACCAAUCCAAAAAAAAAGUCAUGCAUGCAUGCAUGAUAUGAUCUCACAUCUCUGUUUUUGGUUGUGGGGAUGAGGUCAUCCGUGUGUUCGCGUUUAGUGGGAUGGGCAAUGAGGGCCGGAUGAUGAACAAUAUAAUGUUUUUCAGUCCUUUAGCCACCGUUCAUGUGCCGCAAGUGUCAUCCACACAUAGCAAAGAGGGCUAUGAUGACAACCAUCACUACUGCAGACAGCGCCUUUGCCGAGCGCCUGGGACGCUCGGCAAAGAGCGAUUUGCGCUCGGCAAAGUCUUUGCCGAGCGUGGCGCUCGGCAAAGAGGUUCCGGCAAAGAAACGCUCGGCAAAGGCUUCUUUGCCGAGCGUCUUUUAUCGGGCGCUCGGCAAAGCCUUUGCCUAGCGCCAAAAAGGCCUUCGGCAAAGAAAAGCGACGGGCAUUACCGUUAUGCACCGUGACACUUUCUUUGCCGAGCGUCUUCACUCUGCGCUCGGCAAAGAGCAAAUUUUUUUUUUGAAAAUUCCUUUGCCUAGCGCCUACAAGACAACGCUCGGCAAAGAGGAAAUUAAUUUUUUUUAAAAAAAAACUUCUUUGCCGAGCGCCUCCAACAACGCGCUCGGCAAAGAGGAUAAAAAUUGUUUUUUAAAAAAAGUCUUUGCCUACUGCCUCCAACCUGGCGCUCGGCAAAGCUGGGUAGGUUGCUGUUGUCCCGCGCCAAAGAUUCCAGCUUUGCCUAGCGCGGCGCUCGGCAAAGACUCUUUGCCUAGCGCUGCGCUAGGCAAAGCUGGAAUCCGUUUUUUUUUUGCUUUCUUUCACUGCAAACACAGCAAAUCAUAUGUAUAUAUAUCAUAUUGAUAUCACCAUGAACACAAGUAGCACCAUUUAUAUCACAAUUCCAUCAAUUUUAUCACCACCGGCAAAGGAUUUAUCACAAUAGCACAUAUAUCUCAUAAUAACAUCACUUAUUCGGCGAUAAAGUCCAUACAACAACUUGAUUCUAAUGAAGUUCAACACAACAAGUCCAAGUCCAUGACAUGAAGUUCCACACAACAAGUCCAAGUCCAUGACAUGAAGUUCCACACAACAAGUCCAAGUCCAUGACACGAAGAGAAGGAAUACAUGACAACUUCUUCGACGACGUUACUCACGCGGCGGUGGAGGUGCGUACUCGGGCCACCCAUUUGAUGGCGGCGACGGUCUCCCAUGCUCGUUCGCCACUUGGUUCGAACCCGCCGACUGAGGCUACACACAAGAGCAGCGAUUGCAUGAGACAAAGUUAAAUAGCUAAAUAACAUGCAUGUGUGAUAUAUAUUACUCACCGGAGUAGUGUGGAGAGCAACGAAGGGAGGAACGACGGGAGGAGGCUGAGGUGGACCCGUCAAGUUGGGUGGCAAAGUAACACCUAAAGAACUCUGCAGAAACGCCAGCACAUCUGACAUCCUCUGGUCAGUUGCCAGCCGCGCCGCCCGCUCUGAAGCCACAACCGCCUCCAGCUCGUCAGCCCUCUUGUUCGAAGUUUCCACCUGGGCCUAUACAUUGUUGCAAAGGUAAUGUUAGUGAAGCGAGAAGAAAAUCCUUAAUGCAUGAUGAGUAAACAAAAACUAACCUGUAGUGCCUCGACCCGGGCCUGUGCAUAGGCCGGCCGCUCGCGUAUCGGCGGGAGUCCGGAGCCGCUCGUGGUCUGUGCUCGGAUCUGUGAGAGAGAGGGAGUAGUGGUGCUGUCGAUCACGCUGUUCGCCAUCCAGUAGCGCCCAUGUUGCUUUCCCUUUCCAAGACACAUGACGAGGCGUGCAUCGAUGUUGUCAUUCGUUGGAUCAUAAUCCAACCCAUGCAUCGCCCUCGCCGCCUCGUGGUACUCGGUGACUUUCUUGUAGGCGCUCUCACUUGUGUACGCCUCGGGCGGGUCCUCCGGGUUGAAGGAGACGUCGGACGUCGCCUUGCCCUUGUGUGACAUGGUAUAUGCCGCGAAGUAGGAGCAUUGCUGGCCACCGUGCGCCGCCGACUGCGAGAACGAAAAGAAGUUUGUUAGUAGUCUUUGCCUAGUUAAAUCAAAGCAUGGAAACAGUUACAAACAUGAUGACGUACCCAAGCUCGGGCGAAGCCGCCCACGUUGCGGUUGCCUUGAUGGUGAGGAACACCUGGCAUGGCCAAACGGUGAGCCCGGAAAGUCGCGUGCUGCUGCCGCCACAAGUUAUCACACGAGAGAUGUCUAGGUUUCUAACUAACUUCCGUGAUAACAUGCACGAAACUUUACCAAAUUUUUACCAUAGCAUCCACAUGUGUUCCAAAGACGUGUCGCUAAGUUAUGUAAUUUUUCGACUUCAUUUGCAUUUUAUAUAAUUUAAUAGCACUUCACGCGCAACUUGGUCGCCGUGUUCCGUGCGCGAGAUGUUCGAUAUUUCAUGCGUGCUUCUGGAUAUGGCCUUAACAUACGCUAUGUAAAGCGAAUAUCAAUUUUUGAACCGUCGAAUUCGGAGAUUCGAUACACCUGCAGUUCAAACCCGCGUUUAUCGUAGAAAUUCAAUUAAACCAAAUUAACUAAAGAUAUAUAAUAAAAAGAUUUUAAAAACUACCAAAACCUUAACAUAUACUAUUAAAUAAUGUGUAAUGCAAAACAAAAAAGUUUGGAAGCAAAAAGUAAAAAAUAAAAAAAAUCUUUGCCGAGCGCCAAAAGUCAGCGCUAGGCAAAGAGAGCCUUUGCCGAGCGCAAAAAUUCAGCGCUAGGCAAAGAGAUGCCUUUGCCGAGCGCCAAACGUCAGCGCUAGGCAAAGAGAUGUCUUUGCCAAGCGCCUAACGGAGGGCGCUCGGCAAAGGGUGACGGCAGGUACCCCAUGUUACAUGUGUUAUCUCUUUGCCGAGUGCAAGCCGUUGCCGAGCGCUUGGCGCUUGGGAAAGAUGUCCUUUGCCAAGAGCGGGCCUUUGCCGAGCGUCUGGUGCUUGGCAAAGACGUUCUUUGCCGAGCGUCUCCGUUUGCCGAGGGCACUACCCUCGGCAAAGAAAUCUUUGCCGAGCGCUGUCUUUGCCGAGGGUCCUGCGCUAGGCAAAGGUGGCCUUUGCCGAGCGCCCGAUUUAUAGCGCUCGGCAAAUAACCAUACGCUAGGCAAAGGCGCUGUCUGCCGUAGUGCAUGGUCGGAGAAAGGGAGGAGCUCACAGUUCCAUUAGUUUUUUAGUGAGUUUUAAUCUCAUCUCAAUGGACUUGUAUCUCCACCUAGUAUUGGAAAUCGUUUUACCUACGCGUCAUCUCACUUAUCCUACACGCUGCUGCCAUAUAACGCUUUAGUGGAAUAGUAUAUAUGGUAUUGCAAGUCGCUUUACCUAUGCAUCAUCUUACUUCUCCAACUCGCCACUGCCAUAUAAUGCUUCAAUGGAAUCAAUGGACUUGUAUCUCUAUCUAGUAUUGCAAGUCGCUUUACCUACUUGUUAUCUCACUUCUCCUACUUGUCGCUGCAAUAUAUAUAUAACGCUUCAAUGGAUUUGUAUAUCCAUCUAGUAUUGCAAGUCACUUUGUGUACUAAUCAUCUCACUUCUCCUACUCACCGCUGCCAUAUAAGAGUAACUCCAGCCAAAGCCCCCAAAUCAAAGCCCCUACUUUUAAUUUAGGUACUCACCCCUAUUUUUCUGGGUCCAAGAAAUCGAUUCUACUCCAGCCGCAUUGGUCAAAUAAAACCCCUAAACUCAUACUAGCACUCUAUGACCGGAGGGACCCACAUGUCAUUGAGAUAGCCUUUCUUCCCCAAUCUUUUACACGCUCAUCCGCGGCGGAGGGAGGUGCGGCCAGAGAGGCCGCACGACCAUGGCAGCGGUGUGUUCGUGCUCCCCGGAAGGAGGUGCGGCCAGCAGAGGCCGUGGCCAUGGCAGCUCGCUGCACCGCUUGCACAGCCAUCCCCGGUCGACGCGCCGCUGCACCGCCUGCAGGCGGCCGAGUCGCCGCCGGGGCUCACCCUACCCUCCGCACGCGGGCCGCGGGUGGCCACGCUCGAGACUCGCCCGACCGAGGUGGGUGUGCUCUAGCGCUGGAUCUCACAUGCGGAGGCACACGGGGGAGGAAAUGGCGGGCAGAGAGGGAGCUCGCGGCGGGGAGGAAGCUCGCCCGCGCAUGAGGAACGAGCGGCACAUGGAUGAGAGGGGGAUAGAGGGCUGCUGGAUCUGGGGACCUUGAAAGGAUUUAAUUGGCCUAGAGGGGGGUGAAUAGGCGUAUCUUAAAAACCUGAAACUCAAAAGCUCAAGUUGCGGAAGUUAAAUGCCUACCGGUACUACCAACAGUUUGGGCCGGUACUACCGGUGUAAGACAGCCAGUACUACCGAUGCAACUGUUGGUACCACCGACGCCCUAUGAGAGCUACGAAAUUAGAGUAGAUUGAGUUUUGAUUUCACAUCUGAGAGUUACCCCACUCUCCAAGAUGUAGUAGAGGAUGAUGUUGAAGUUCCCUUGGCUCGGUUCUUCUCCAAAACGUAGAUCGGCCCUUGUUCACCUAUGAAAGGGAGUAGAGGGAAAGAACACGAAGAACACAAGAACAAGGGUAGUCGAUGCUACCUCCACAGCAAGACAAGAUAUUUUUUCCGAGGUUCGGCAAUCCCCACGAAGGAGUUCCUACGUCCCCGUUGUUGAGGUGACCAUGAAGGUCUGACCACUUAGGUCUCCUCCCUCAAGCAACCACACAGGUUAGCUCAAGAUUUCCACUAAGAAUCAAAGGGUUAUACAAACACUUCGGGGUGCCCUCACAAAUGAAUCAACAUGGGCAACCACGAAGAACGCCUAGCCGGCUAGGGUUCCAAGAACCCAAGAGUAACAAAUGCAAACCAAACCGGCAAGACAAAGAAACCAAGUGCUCAAGUCACAAAUCGAAGCUCCCAACUCUCUAAUCUCACUUCUCUAGCUCGAAUCUCUCAAGGAGUGAAGUCUAGGAGCAAAGAGGGAGAGAGAGUGGGUGAGUCAAAGCUUGGAGACUAUUUUCUCAGAUGUAGAGUUGAAGGAAUGGGAGAGCUAACGGUUAGAAAUGAGGGAAGAGCUAUUUAUACACAGGUCCUGAACAACUGAACAACUGUCGGUACUACCGGGGCAACCACCGGUACCACCGGCUACCUCAGAUCUAACGGUAAGAAGUCUCUAAGAUUUGCGAUAAAUAAGCCUACCGGUACCACCGGGCUUUUGUCGGUACUACCGACCAUUACCGGUACCACCGGUGGAAGGACGUUACCACCGGCAGUUCAAAUCUCCGCAACCAAAGUCAGCACAGAUUUGGCCUGCCGGUACUACCGGCGUUUCACACCGGUACUACUGGUGCUGGCCGGUACCACCGGCCCGAGCCCGGUACUACCGGUAGUUCAUUUUCUCGCAAAACUCAGGAAAAGGGCUGGCACAGCCGGUACCACCGGCCCUGAGGGUCGGUACUACCGGCUCACCCUGGCAGAGAAGAAAUUUCCUAGUGCUUCGUGCGUGCAAGUGUGUCUAUCAAGCGCAAGAGCUAAGUUGACCUGAGCACUCUUAUCCUCAUCUUACCAACUCAAUUUGCAUCCCUCUUGAUAGUGCGGCGUUUCCUAUAACUCAAGCAAAGAAUAAAAACUUUGUAGCCACUUGAGUCGAAACACCGUUUAGGGGUGCUAUAAUUCACCGAAUGUUUUCGUUCAAUUCCAUCAAUGGAUUAACACCUGUAGAUUAUACUCGAUAAACAUGUUAGUCCCUAAUUUGAUUGUCAUUAAUUAUCAAAACCCACAUCGGGGGCGAAUGCACUUACAGACCUGAAACUAUAAUUUGAGAGGGUAUUAAAAAUAGGAGCCAAAAUAGGAGGUGAGUUAGAGUUGAUUUUUUUGACCAAGUCCCUACAUUUGGAAUAGAGGUCUGUUGAUGGGUUGGAGUUGCUGGGCUUCAAUGAACUAGUAUUGCAAGAUGCUUUACCUACUCGUCAUCUCACUUCUCCCACUGACCACUACCAUAUAAUAUAACCUUGCAAUUGCUGGAGAUGGGUUCAGGAGGGUGGGACCAGGAUGCAUGCGGCAUAUUAGAUAGUUUGUGAGUACUCUUUUUGUUUGAAAUUUUAAGUUAUUUUGGCAUCUUUAUGGACACAGAUUUUACUUCGUAUCUAAAUAUAGCGUAUAUUUAGGUGUAUAGCAAAAGCAAUAUACCUGAAAAUUCAAAACAAUUAAUAAUUGAAAACACAUGAAGUAGAAAGAGAGGAGCCUCGAAAACGAGGGAAAAAAAUGAGAGGUAUAUAUACAUUUAAAAUGAAGCCGUGCCAUCGCAUCUCAAUGAUGUAAUGAAAGAAAAACAUCAACCGCUAACAAUUGUCAGAAAAUACCCGGAAUGUAUGCAGACAGUACGCCAAUUACUUUGAUUGCAAUAAGAGUUUCACAUCACGUGAAGUGAAAUGUAAACCGCAAUAUUUGUCUGUCGUAGCUCGAUCAACCAUCAUUUCGGGAGUUCAUUCACCUGUAUGGAUCGGAGCUAGCUAGGCCAUCCAUCAAUGGUUGCUUGGAGAUGCAUGGAAUGCAUAUGUAUCCAACGAUCCGCCGGCUGGUAGUAUAUGUAUGGACAAAUUAGUGUCACGGGGGGAGAAGGAUGGGAAAUCCCAGCAGCCGCCUUGGCUUGCUCACGUUACGUAACUUUUGUGCGUGUAAGUUAUUAGGCUUGAUCACUGGUGAUCGAUCGAGAGGUGCAGUGGAUGGAGGAGCUCCAAGCGUCGACCGAGAAAGAAUCGACCAGUACCAUCUGCUAGUCGCUGCUGAAGAAGGUCGUAGAAUUAAGCUACUAGCUAGGUGUUUAUUUGGUUAUUAGUACUUGGACUCAUAGCCUGAUUGAUCAAAUGUUAUGUUGAUGGCGAUGUAGGAUGAUAGUAAUUAAAUUGCAAGCAAGCGUCCUAAUCUGAUCCGCGUGCUUGGGCUUUGCUUGUCCCUUACGCAGUUACGCCGCCCGUGCGCGCGCGCGCCCCUAAGGCAGGCAGGUGAUGACGAGACGAGAGCGCGCACGGCGCGCGCACGCAUUGGUCUCUCUAUCAGCAGUACUAUCAGCCAUCCGGAAGGCAGGCCAUGUCCAACUGCCCGAAAACCUAAAAACUUUUUAAAAUUUCCGAUCACAUCCAAUUUUUAUAUAAAACAUUAUAUAUAUCUUUUAAUCCUAACUAAUUCAUAAUUAGAUAAUAAUUAUCAAAUAAUACAAACGAAAAUGCUACAAUACUCAGCGUUUUUUCACAUGACAAACUUAGACAAGGCGGCCGUGGUCGCCCGCCCAUCUACGCACGCUGCGCCACGCAAGGUCGCAAUGGCAGCAGUGGUCAGCGUCGUCAGCCCGCCCGCAUGCGUAUGGCGCGAUCGAGCGUGAUAUGAUUCAUAUUAUACUAGUACUACAUCAUAAUGCUAGCUCGGACACGCGGGGGUUGCUGUACUUAUUAGCGUAUACUAGUAUUCUUGCAAUUAGAUAGACGGGUCGUUAUGUUAGGUACAGGCUUCGUUCGAUCCCGAUCAGAUCAGACGCCGCAUGCAUUACGACACUACUGUCGAAAGUACUGGUAGUUUAUUCGUUUCUGCAACGCGCGCGCGCAAGCCAACCGAACCCCCCGUACGUUUUUAUUUGAGAAAUGCAAGCGGUACACGUAUGAAGCUGGGGUGGUGAUGUAGCGUGGUAAUACGCUCGAUCUGGACGGCCAGGUCCAAAAAAUGGCUGUGCGUGGCUGGUAUAUAUGGACGCACGCACGCACGCACGCGCGUGCCGCGCGUGCCGGCGUGAUUCAUGUGUUUUUGUCGUCUGACUUGGCACACAACCCGCAUUUGUCGUCUCGUCGUCUGCGACCUCCAGACUCCACCAGUCCAGCAGAAGGUUACUGCGGCCCGGCCGGGGCGCCAGCGCCACAGUUCGAUCGGCCGGCGUGCCUGCCACCUCGUGCGUGCCCAAGCCCCAAAAGCAUAGGGAAUUAGGCCUUGUUUAGUUCAUAAAAAUUUUGAUUUUUGGCUACCGUAGCACUUUCAUUUUUAUUUGACAAAUAUUGUCUAAUCACGGAGUAACUAGGCUCAAAAGAUUCAUCUCAUAAAUUACAGGUAAACUGUGCAAUUAGUUUUUAUUUUUAUCUAUAUUUAAUGCUUUAUACAUACGACCAAAGAUUCAAUGUGACGAAAAAUCUUGAAAAUUUUUGCGAACUACACAAGGCCUUAAGCAGCCCGAACAGUCAAAUAGUCGCCUCUGCACAAUAUAUAUACGCGCAUCCCGUUAAGGGUAAGUAACGAUUUUUUUUUUAAAAAAAAUAGUAACAGACUGACGCAGUGACCUCAUCACUCAAGUCUAAAAGGCCAUGGAGUCCGUCCGUGCGGAUGGAUUUUGAUAUGUAAACCAACGGUUUGUGUGCAGUCAUUUUCGGUGCUGUUUCCAUCUUAAUUACACACGUCAACCCAUCAUCGCCUCACUCGUCACAUGCAUGGUUUACCUUUUUACCGUACGGAGCUCGCCUAAGCAGAAGCAGUCCAUCAUGACAUCAUCAGGCGAGAGAAAUUGAUCAGCUGGCCGGCUAGUUCAAGUGGGACAUGAAUCAAUGUUGAGUCAUAAAACAGAUUUUUUUUUUCUCAUAUCAAAUUAGCAUUAGUAGCAGUCGAAUUUUCAGCAAGCCGAAUGAACAGGAUAUAGUUGGAUGGACAAUAGGACGACCAAGGGGCGGCUAGCUCAUGCCUCAUGUCUGAUGGUGUUUUUGGAGGUGGACCCACGCAACAUUGCAAGUUGACCACUUGAUCCUAACCCUACUGCUGCGUUGGUUCCAAUUCCAUUUGCAUUUCCAGUCUUCCAACACGAGGACAAUGGCGCGAGGCACGGAAGAAAUAAAGGAAACCUUGUUAGCUAGCACAGGGAGCAGUUGGCACAAUCAGGCAUGCCAAAUCAGGUUAGGCAACACAAUUAUAUAUAUAUAUAUAUAUAUAUAUAUAUAUAUAUAUAUAUAUAUAUAUAUAUAUACUCCUACAUGGGAUGGGAGUAUGGGACGAACCUUCCCAUUGCCGCCGCCGGCGUGCCUCGUCUCGUCGUCGUCGUCCCAGACCCACCGCUCGUCGCCGCCGCCGCCGCCGCCGGCUCACCAAACCUGUCGUCUUUACCUCGCCUGUUUGUUUCUUUAACUAUUUUUUUUUCUUGUUGCAAUAAUGAAGCAUGAACGGCAGACUGAAAGAUUGGAUGCUUGAGGAACAUCCGAUCCCAAGUGUCCAUGGCGUGCCUCGUCUCAUCACUAUUAUAUUAUCCAGGAUGUGGUGCCUCUCGCGGCCGGCGGCGGCUCAUCGAUUCUACAUUUUCCAUCACCCUACCUCGUUUUCUGUUCGUAUACGCAAAUAUAAAAUGUAAAUAAAUACUCUGAGGCUUCCUCUGCUUUUUUUUAUUUUACCAGAUUUAUGUCGAUGCAUUAGACGGGACCAUGAUUUUUUAUCUACAUCUAUUGCUGAAAAUUAUUUUAUUUUACUUUGGGGCUUCCUCUGCUUUUAUUUUAUUUUAUUUUUUAGCAGAGGGCUUCCUCUGCUUUUAUAAUCACGGGCUGCGUAUGCAGGAGUUGGGUGGGCUUCACAGCCUCUUUCGCAGAAGCAGCGUGCACUGGGCUGAGUCCAUGAGUGGCCCAAAGUGCAACCAACGGCUGUGGGGGAGAGGACUCUAGCACAACAGAAACAUAGGACACUGUUGGGCAGUGAAUACACAUCCUUAAAUCCAAACUUCCAAGUUGAAUUUGGAGUUUAUGGAGUAAAAUAAACAAAUUAUGUUUAAUACGAAUAAAAGAAUAAUUAAUUUGCAUAACCGAAUGCCUCAGUUUCUCUCUCUCCUGAUGAAGCAUAGUUUUUCACACGGUAUGGGUACUCCAAUUGGCUAAAAAGUUGACUACUUAUUAUUGCUCUAUCUCCACUAUAAUUGAAAACUUCUUGGGUCAUUAGACCAGACAAACUCACGCCCCAACAAACUCAUCUCCACCGCAGCCCACUAAUUCGGCCCACUAAUCUCUACCAUAACCAGAUCAAAACACGCAUCUGGCUCAGGGAGUGAAUUUUGCACGCAUGCAUGCAUGCAUGCAAGAGACAGUUUCUGUCGCAAAAAUAUUAUACUAUUGGAGUAAUAUGUUGUGAUUUUGGUUGAUCCUUUUUUUAAUAAUAAAUAAUAAAUAGCUGCAGUAGCCGGUAGGUGCUGUAUAUGGUCCCUACUGGAGUACAUACAAGAGAAAACAUUUUUCCUCCAAAGGCCAGCCUGGUUACAGUACGUGACAUGUACCGUGAUCAUAGAUCGAUCUUAGUAUAUUCAUAUUCAAGUACUAUAGGUUACAUGUAUAUGUACCGGAUCGUCGGUGACGGGCGACACGGUGUGGAAGACGUCGUGGCAGCCGGCGACGGCCGACCGCAGCGCGUCGUAGUCGAGCAGGUCGGCCUUGCACAGCGUCAGCCUCUCCGCCGCGCCGGGGAGCGCCCUUAGGUGCGUGUUCUUCAAGCGCGAAAUUUUUUUUGCCUGUGACCCCGGCGCCGUCGACGGACGGACGGUCUGAUCGGCGGACAGCAGGGAGACAGUGAUCAGUGAAUUCCAGUCGAUCUACGUAUCCCUUCCUCAAGCGUGAAAUUUUUUUUGCCUGGACAGCAGGGAGACGGUGAUCAGCGAAUUCUAGUUGAUCUACGUAUCCCUUACUCAAGCGCGAAAAAAAUUUGCCUGUGACGCCGGCGCAAGAUCCUAAAAGCUCAUGGAGAGCAAGAUCCUGAAGAUUUAGAGAUUAAAAGACAAGUCGCGGUUGAAUCAAGGGUAAAGGAUUAUUUAAAAGCUGAUAUGAUAAGCUUAAGCAUAAUAUUUGCCAUAUGAUAAAUUUUAUACCGUCCAAAUAAGAGUAUAUAAUGAGCAUAAAUUUCUAUGCCUGCAAGUGUUCCUACCCAUCAAUAUUCCACUCUGUCACUGGUACCUCGCAAUCGUGAAUGCUUUAAAACGAGAGAUACAAGUAUUGGACUCUUUUGGAAUGCAGAUGAUGGACUUAUUGGAAUGCAAAUGAUAGAAUGUGUAGAUCUUCGAAACACGGUACAACAUAAUAUCUAUAUGAUGUACAUAUUUUUUUUAACUUAUUGAACUAAACAAUUCAAAAUUAACCUGGUCUCUCGGUUUUAACAGUUAAUAGGAAUGGAAAAAAUAAUUAAACAUAUAGUAGAGAACAAAAAACUCGACACAAGCAAAUGGGAGCAUGGUAUUGAAGUAUCGUCCUGGAAAACUAACCAUAUGAUUGCCCGAAGAAUGCAAAAGGAUUCGUAAUUACUUCCCAUCUAUAUGUCAUUGUCUAUAUAUAUAUAUAUAUAUAUAUAUAUAUUGGCUGAAAUUUUGGCGAGUCGUGCAAACGAAUGCUACGACAACAUAUCUGAAGAUAUCCAAUAUUUGAUUAAAAAGUUAGAGAAAAUGUAAAGAUGUCUUUAUAUACUGAUGAUUCAUAAAAUGUAUAUAGACUUAAAAACAAUUACCCAAAAUUAAAACUCUAAAAAAAUUACUAUAGCAUUCUCUAGAAAAAACCGUGGCGUUAGCACGGGCAUUACUAUAUACUCUGUGCACUUGUUAGUUGAUUGGUUAGUAAAUGCAUUAUUCAAAUAGUAUAGCAUUAGCAUGCUUGCUGAAAAAAAUAACAUGCUCUUACCCAGCUUGUACGGUCCGGUGACGAACUAAAACUUUCUCUCACUAUCCCCAUAAGAGGAUAAUCUUAGCAAAAGCCGUUGCAAUUGGAACAGCGCAUGCCCUGCCUGACUGACUGCUCCCACAUAUUGGACCCAUUGUUCAGAUAAAUUGGAGAACAAAUAGCCACUCGUUGUGGUUUGGGUCAGGGACUCAGGGUGAAUGGAAGGAGGAGCACACUUUUUUGUGACAAACUUUUUGUAGUUCUCCUAGUAUCUACCCUCUCUCUCUCUCUCUCUCUCUCUCUCUCUAUAAAGUCCAAACCCUUGACUUGCUCUCCUCUCAAACUGCAAGGGGUGUGGGUCGACCCGCUUCAAAACAUGGUCUGCUCCUUGAUUUAGCCAACGGUUUGAAGCGAGUCGCUCCUGACGUGAAGAGGGUCCAAAAGGUCGAAAACCUGUUGACCCACAUCGACCUUUGGGUCGCACCGCUUGCAGCGUCCGCUCCCCCGCCACCUCCCUCCGUAGUUGGCGUUCACUUGCGGCUUUCCCGACGAGGGAGCCUUGCGCCGCCCGCCUCGCCUCGGUGAGGCCCCGCUUGGCCAUCGAACUUGCUACUCUACUGUCACCAUUGCGCUCGUCAUUGGCCAAGCUGCCCACUCCCGCUUGCCGGUCUCCUUUCUGUCACUGCCAUGCUGCCCGCGCCACGCCAGGCCUGCCACCCAUCCGCUCGCCGGUCUACUCCCGCCGUACGCUAGCAGCGCGCGUGGGCUGUCCAUUGGGCACUGGCCGUGCGGUAUGUGGUAUGCUUGCAUAUCCUCUAGAUUGUCGUAAGAGAUGUCACGGAAUCAAAUUGCAUCUUGAUAUCGGUAGCCGAUUAUAGAUUGAAUUUGUAGCUAAAUUUACACUAAUUAUUCGUUAGCUUUAAGGCUGCCAGAGCUUUUAAGGUUUUUUCGUUCGUCUUCAUAUGAGAGACUUCUUUCGUUCUGCUUCUGCAUCAGGUUCGACCCUAGGUGCUCCGCGGGCCAACAUGGUUCCUUUGAAGGGAGGGGCGGUUCAACCAUGACCCACAUAUAACAGAGGGCGGAGGGGCGGCAAUAGGGGCGCACCAAUAUACUCCAUUUGCAGGUUUACUCUCCUCCGGGAAACUUUCCUUUAAGGUCCAUAUAGAAGAGCAACUAGAAAAGUGAUAUUAUUUCCACUUGAGACAAGGAUUGCGCAUGCCAAUAGUUUGUUUUGUUACGCUCCAGUUUUUGGAAUGUGAGAGGAAAUAUUAAAAAAAUAAAUUUCAAAGUUCUAGACUGUAGAAGAUUGGGAUGGUGAAGGAUUUGUUAAAACCCCUCACCUUGGAGCCCUCAAAAACACCUUCUUAGAUAAUACUCCCUCCGUUCAAACAGAAUGUCAUUAUAAUAUACAUAUUUGUUAAACUUUCUUCAAUGCUAGGUUUGUACAAAAUAGUAGUAAUAUUUGUAUUUCUAAAUAAGUUUAUUACAAAGCAACAUAUUCAAUGAUUCAUAUAAUGAUACUAAUUAUGCAUCAUAAAUGUUAAUAUUUUCUUAUAUGUGAUUGGUUAAAGUUAAAAUUAUUUGACUUCUUGAGAAGUGAGAAUAAUAUACUUUCUGGCACUAAGGGAGUAGAGUAUAAUUUUGGCCUCCACAUUUUUGUAUGCUUAGUCAUUUUUUUAUUGCAAUUGCUUUUUUCGCACCAAAGUACAAUCAUACUUUAAUAAGAACAAGAUGUUUAAAAUAGAAAUAAAAAAGCUUUAUUACGACAAUCUAUUAAGCCCCCUUUGGUAUGUAGGAAAAUUUUUUGUUUCACACGUUUUCACAUGAAAAUGAACUGAUUCUUGUCAAAUUUGUGUAUGAUUUCGGUGAAAUUGUUCUCUUACUAAGCCCAAUGCAUAGCUGACAAAAAGAUCCAUCAUGAUAAACUUUGAAGCAUGACGAGCCUGUGCAUAGGUUCCCGACCCCAUAUCUUUUUUUGAGACAACCCCUUAUCUUUUGUAGUCUCUAAAAUGUUGUUUCAUUAUGUGGCUCUAAAUAAUACAUGUAUAGAAGAUUGUAUUUUGUAUUUGUAAAUGACAAAAAUCAAGUAUUUAGCUAUCACUUUUUGCCACGGUUCAACUGCAAUUAUUGAAACUCAAAAUACUUUAAAAUUAGUUGUAUAAUCAAAACAUUAUGUAGAUCGUUUGCUCACUUUAUAUUCAUAAAUAUCAUACAUCUAUUAUACUAUAAGAUUCACAUCAAUACAAAACAUAGUAAAAACUAUGUAUUAGUAGUUGGCUUUGUCAAAACAGUUGAGUAUUCAUUGUUAUUAGUAAUUGUAUCGAAAAUUCUAACAAAUUAUAGAGGCCAAUGUAUAAAAGUACUUACUUCAUUUCAAAUUAUAAGAUAUUUUGUCUUUUCAGGACAUAUAGUUUUUGCUAUGCACUUGAAUAUACACUAUGAGGUUGUUUCAUUGGGUGUGUAUCAUCUAUCCAGGCUCCAAGAAGCUAUCUUGAGGUUGUUUGGUUCCCUAUGUUGGCUUAAUAACUAGGCCCACUAGGCCACCGACCACCCCUAGUCUAGCUAGCUCGGAACACAAUGGGUAUCUAUUUUCCAGCAAGCCUAGGUUGGCUAGCACUUGGUGGCCACUCAUGUCACUCCUGGUUCUCCACAAAGCAUGAUGCAUGCUUGCCCGCACAAUGAGGACGAUAACCGCUAGCGAGGCUCGACGAAGGUGGUGAUAGCGCAAUCUAGCUAUGGAGCGAAGGUGGUGUAGCUGAGUAGGAGGCAGUUGGCAUCGCAUGCGAAUCUCAAGACAAGGAACAAGAGGGUGGUGUGCGAGAGGGGUAGGCCCAUAGAGGCAAGAAUCGCGAGUGGAACGUCGCAAGCGACAAUGGAGGUGAUGGCCGCCUGUGUUCUGCUAUGCUCAGUAGCAGGUGAUGACAAACAUGUGGAGAUCCAUCUGGCUCCAGCAGAUUUGCCCCCCACCCAACCAGCACAAAUGCAGGUGUGGUUGCUCUCUGGCAAUUACACCCUGAUCCAGAUGCUAGAUCUCCAUUGACCACACGCCACCCAUCUCGCUCCACUCCCUACCCCGCCCACCUCCCGGCAUUAUUUGAUUUCUAUUAUGACAAUAUACAUAUCUACAUUGAGCAGCGAGCAGUGGCGGAGGACAGAAAACAAUCAAGGUGUGGCCUACAGUUUACAGAGCCUGAUUAAUAGCACAAACAUUAAAAAAAACAUGUGAUGCAGCUAGGAUAAAGAAGAGUGAAACAAAUUUAAGGUAGGGCAGCUGCCACACCUAGCCCUACCGAGCCCUUCGCCACUGGCAGCGAGUGGGUGAGUAAAUGGUGGUGUCUUGCAGCAGUGGGAUGAGUGGAGGGCGGCGGCGAUGAUGGUCCAACAGUGUCUAGGUGUCGUCGAACUAAAACUCCAUGAUGCACCAUUGUUGUUAGGGGGAAGACCGAGGUAACAUUUAAGACAUGACUAAGGGUAAACUCACCCUCACAGAGGUGACUAUAUAUGGACUAGCCAAGCAAUCAAAACAAGAUCUACACUAUAUAUAGGCUUAGGUAAAACAGGCGAACCAAACAAGCUAGUUUAGAACAGACUUGGGGGAGGGGGGACACAUUUGGGUUGUCCAGGCUUAGAUAGGUAGCCAGACCAGUAAAUAGAACAUGAACUAAUUACACCCUAUGUUUAGAAGCAUAGUAAACAAUGUAUUUUGAAAAGGCUAAAAUGCUUACAAUUUGAAAACGGAUGGAGUAUAAUUUAUCCAAACAAAUCAUACAUGUAUAGAGAGAAGAAUAACACCACACACCCUCACUAGGCCGGGACCAAGGCAGAGUCUGGGCCACAUGACAAGAGCAUGAAAUGUUUGUUGAAAUUUGGUCCGUGGGCUUGCAGGGCAUGUCCUCCUUUUUUGUCUUUAUAUAUACUUUUGUUUUUUUUGCGAACGUUAUAUAUACUUUUGUUAAUUUAAACUAAAGUCUACGAGAUACAUAAAUAUAAUAAUAAUAAAUACUUCCUCCAUCCCAAAUUAUAAGUCAUUCCAAGAAUCUUGGAGAGUCAAACUAUUUUCAUGUUUGACCAAAAUUAUAUUGAGAAAUACUAAGAUUUAUAACAUAAGGUGAGUAUACGAUGAAAAUAUAAUUAAGAAAUGAUAUAAUGAUACUUAGUUGGUAUCAUAAUUAUUAUUAUUUUAUUACAUAAAUUUGGUCAAACUUAUGAUAGUUUGACUCUCCAAGAUUCUUGGAAUGACUUACAAUUUGGGAUGGAGGGAGUACUUUUUUAUUAGUGUACUAGAGACCAUAUGACACUAUGUAUGUGUCUAUACGACGUGUCUCUUGCUUCAUGCCAUCUAAGCCCUAUUAUACAAUGACGCACCGGUUCAAGAAAUGCAAGAUAACACAUCUUACUUCCUUUUUUUUUAAAAAAAAACACACUACAAUACAAAUGCUCACAAUGUAUACAUACCCACCCUUAUAAACACAAGCAAGCAAAACAUAGAUCUAUAAACAUCUUUGAAAAUUGAGCUGGUAAAUUCUCGAGAACAUGCUACAUGACCUUUUAUAGCACAUUUCUCACAUCUAUCAAAAUGAUAAACUUUAUUAGACAUCAACUGACACUUAAAUAGUUCAUAAGAGUUUCCCUAUUGCACAUUCUGAGUGUUGCAACCCUCGACUUUACUGUUCUUCCUCCUCCUCGUGCCUGCUUCGGCAUGGGUGAAUCUAUAUAAAGGAUACAGAGUGCGGGCACACCCAUAAAAAUAUUAAAAAACAGUGAUUAUGAUCAUUUUUUCAUUAUAUUUGCACCUACACGAUAAAAUCCUACGUACCCACAAGGCAAGUGCACUCUCUUUAUAUUUGCUCAAGCUCCGCCACCGUGCUUCGGUCGUGUUAGGGUUUCGUUGGAGCUCUGCAGCCUUAGAGCAUCAGCGAAGCUGUAGUACGGCCGCGCCAACCUCCUUCUUCUCCUCCCCCUCCUUUCGUGACGAGCUAUGGCCAUGGAUGCCCUAUCUCAACCUGGUUCGGUUGCCUUCAUUGUUACUAGGACGUGACAGCUUCUUUUCGUCAUCCCCACCGUUUGACCGACCCGUCAUUCCCAAGCCCCUACUAAGGCCGCUUGACUUGGAGAAGGAGAGGGUGAGAGACCGGAUUUGCAUAAGAAAUCGAAUCUACUUUCUUCAUCCCAAAAUAACUGUUGUUUAAUUUUUACUUUUUGAGAAAUAAUUUUGUUUAAAUAUAUAUUAAAAAAUAGUAAUAUUUAUAGUAUAUAAUUAGUAUUAUUAGAAAGAUCUUUAAAUCUAAUUUUUUAAUAAAUUUAUUUGAUGAUACAAAUAUUAUACGUAUUUUCUACAAAUCGAGUCAAACUUAUGACACGGAAACCGAAAACGACACUUAAUUUGAAACAGAGAGAGCAGUACUGAGAGCUCGAAACAUUCAGAGUACUGAGAGCUCGAAACAUUCAGACUGCUCUACCGAUUUAUCGUAAACGAAACAUUCAGAGUGCUCUACGGAUUUAUCGUAGACUAAAUAUUUGAUUUGAUGAUGAGGUAGCCAAGUGAUUUUCCUCAAAACUCGUGCCAUAAACGUAAUGUUGCUCAGCCUUCUGGACGCCACACCAAAUUGGCGCGCGGCGAUUGGGCCACGGAUGAGGCGCGUGUGAGCCACACCGCGCCAGGCUGCCCCUCCCUCCGCCGCACAAGCACAGCCUCACCGACCCCUCCCCUCCACUCUUAAGCCACCCCCUCACCCACCCCCACCAUCUCCUCGCGUCCGCCUCCCCCUCCCGCCGGCCGCCACCUUCCCCGCUGGAAUGGCAGCGGACACCUCGCCGGCAACGUGCGCACGAGCCUCUGCGUCCGGCCUCCGCACGGGCCGCCUCGCCGUCCGCGCCGCCGCCCUCCCGGCGGACGGGCGCGGCGGUGAUGGCGCUGCCUCCUAUAAGAAACUUGGUACGUCCGCCACCCGCAGCUUUAUGCGCAUCCUUGGGAGGAUGCGGAAGAAGCCGUUGAAUUUUGUGAUGCCUAGUGUACAAUGCGGGGUCAAUUGGACCAACUGAGAAAGGAGAGGGUAGCAAAAUAGCUAAUUUGGUUGGUCAGGAGAUUGUCCGGCAAGCUUAUUCCUUUCCUUAGCUUUUGCCCACUUAACUCGCAGACAGUCCAAAACUUUGAUUUCGGGGGCACAAAGUUUAUUUUUCACCUGAUUCCCUGAUAACAAGCAGUCUGAAUAUAGGAGUAGAACGCAAAAUCUUUUUUGGCAUCAAAGUUCAGAGGUUGGGAAUCACUGCACUGAGCCAAGCAGAACAAAGUACUGUUCCUUAAACCCAAAAGCUCAAGUUCCUAAAUAAACUGUUUGCUUGGUGUUUUAAGGUCUGUACUCCUUGAAAAAGAGGAUUGAAGAUGCAGUUGUGCGGGUUGAAACGACUGCUUCCAGUGCUUUGGAGUUGGAGGAAGCACAGAGAAUUAAACAGGAAGAAGUAUUGCGGAAGCGUAACUUGUGGGAUAAUCCAGCUAAGUCACAUGAGACGCUCUCUGCUCUGGCAGAUGCUAUCAGGGUGGUUGACCAUCUAAAAGAUCUUCGCUUCAAGGUGCUUUCUUUAUAGUAAUAUGAGUUCAAACAGUUUUUGUGCUCAGGAUUUCAAGAAACAAAUAUGCUUUACAUAGUGUGAUGCUUCAUGCAUGUGAACAGGCUUCAGAAGAUAAGCUAAACCAUGUGUACUCUGACACUUCCCUUCACUAAAAUAUGCAAAUAUACAGUUUCGACUUCCUUUUUGUCUUUAUUUUGUCCACAGAAACUACAAUUUAUUGGCACUUGUGUUUUCUGGCUGGUGACCAUUAGAUAUACUGUGCAGGCUGAAGAGGCGAAGUUGAUUAGUCAACUAUCAGAGAUGGAUGCCAUAAAUGGUGAGCUAUUUAAGCAAGCAUACAAAUCAUCAGUAGAUGCUAGCGAGUAUCUAGAUCGCUACCAGAUGUACAAGCUUCUUAAGGGUCCAUAUGACAAGGAGGGAGCAUGCAUUAUUGUUACUGCAGUAUCUAACGGUGUUACUUCUGAGGUAAGUUAACUGUAGUUGCAUUCUAUAUGUGUAUGGUCAAAGGUAAUGAUAAUAGAAUAAUAUUAUAAGAAAUACUGAUACUGAUGUAGCUUUAGUUACAAUUUCACCUUUCUAAUUUGAAUAGAUAACCUUGCUGCCCUUUUUGCCUUUAUGAAUUUGUCAUUAAUUAGUAUUCUGCUCAAGUCCAUGUAAAAAAUAAAUCUACUGAAUGGUCAGUUAAUUCAUGAAAUUUCUUUCAAAUAUGCUAAUAGCCUAUAGUGAUUCAUACUCUCAUACUGCUAGAUGGAAGUUGGUAUUUUACUCUGAAUGUGGUCAUAUCAACUUUUUGAAGUUUUGGUAUAUACUGUUGAAAUGGCUAACUAUGAUACUUUUUUACUCACAAAAAUGUUGAUAUUUGUUUGCUGCAGCUGUGGGCAGAGAAGGUCUUUGGCAUGUAUACAAGUUGGGCACGGAAACAAGGUUACAAGGUUGGAUUGAUUGAGAAGAUAUUUUCAACGAGUGGCCAUAUCCAAUCUGCAGCAAUGGAGAUUGAAUCAGAGUACAUGUUUGGCACCCUUUCUGGAGAAAAAGGAAUGCAUCAAAUGAUAUACUCCUCCCUUGAAAAUUCUGACAUUGAUCAGGUGAUUAUGCUUUCUAUUGUAAUUUGUUAAUUUUUAUCAGAAUUCAUCAGGAAUUGUUUAGUGCCAAGUUUAGAUUAAUAUAUACAUGACAAACUAUACAUGUAAAUGUCAUACAGUAGUAAGCUGCUGCUGCUCUACAAGAUAUAUUAGCCAAUAGAUUGCUCAAGUCAAAUAAAGUAAUGCUUGAGCCUCACAUGUUCAGAGUUUAAGCUCAAAACUGUUGACUAAUAUGCAUAGACCAGCGGCACAUUGAACUACUUUGGAUAGAGUAGAUUGUGAGGUAUUGCUUUCCGAUUUAGUAUUCCAAUGCUAAACCUCAUGUGUUACUUUUGAUUCUAUCAUGAUCUUUUUCCAUAUGCUGCUAUGUGUAUAAGAAUGGCUAACCCGAUAUGUACCAAAGCUUGCAGGCCUUAUCAGCUAGAGUCGACAUAAUUCCCCUGUUCUUGGAUAGACCAGUUGAUCUUCACUUGGAUGACGGUGAUAUAGAGACCUCUCCCUCACCUUCUGUACAUAAGAAGCGAGGCAGAAGAAACGGAGCUGCUGUUAGGGUUCAACACGUACCAAGUGGAGUCACUGCUGAAAGUUCAGGUACUGAACAAACAUUGCUUACGCAGAUGUGAACUGGUAUGCUACUGUGAUCGUGACUGGAAUUUAACGAGGCAUCCUAUCAACAGGUGAGAGAAGCUACUUUGCAAACAAGCUAAAAGCCACAAGUAGGUUGAAAGCAAAGCUCCUUCUAGUAGCUAGAGAAUUGAGAGUAUCGGACGUAAAACUGAUCAACAGACAAGCAAUAGAGGAUAAGUGCAACUCUGAAACACGAAGAUACACAUUUGGACCUCAUAAAUUGGUCCAUGAUCUCAAUACAGGUAUCCAGUUGUCAGAUUUGAACUCAGUCCUGGAAGGCGACAUCGAACCAUUCAUCAGAGGCCGUGUUACUUCCAGACAAUUGUGAUGCACACAGCUCUCACCAACUGAUUGAUCUGUUCGCUCAUUGUGAUUCUGUACAUUUAUUUCCUUUCUUCUACAGACCACACCACAUCAUAAGAUAACCUCUGUAAAUAUUUCAUAUUUCAAGCCAAAAAGGUAUACAAAACAUCAAUCUGUUGCACUAUUUUCAUUCCCAUUGUCAUAGAAACCAAAGAAGAGUCAGUUCAUGCAGAUACACACCAUUGAAAAGCCAUUUCAUGUUUUUUUUUUACAUCUGUUAGGGAAAUAACAACUUUUACAGUGAUAAAAACAAUUUGAUGCAACAACCAUGUCAGUACAAGAGACAUAAGGUCAAGAAAUAGAUACUCAGAAUGUACGCUAUAGUAGCUGAACUGCUACUCAACUGUGGUCAUUCUUAUUAGUUUACAUUGUUACUAAGCACUUCGAAUUACAUGUCAUCGAACAGGAGAUCAUGGAGUAGAAUUGAAACUCCAAGAGGAGGCUGUUGGUGGAAAUGAACGCAUUAUUUUAUUAUUUCUAUGUAGCACCACCAAUGACAAACAUGUAUCAAUGUGUUUCAAGCCCUCAUCUUUUCAUAGUACCUGUAGCAACCUUGAUGGUUAGUGUGCUAAAAAAACUGACAAUUGAUUCCUAUUUGCAUGGUAAUUGAUCUUUCUUAUAAAAAUGAAAGUGCAGAAGGGGACUAUAUGUGUUAUAAUAGCAAUAGAGUUCCGAACAGGCCAGUUAUGAACAAAAAUAACUCAAACCGCGUUGGAACUGAAGCAUACUCACCAUGAAAAAUUGAGACAUGCUAAGAUGAUGCAGAUGUGCUAUUAUGUUUUCCUCUACUGAAAAGAAUAACCAGACAUUCAGUUUUGGGUUUUAAGACAGUUGUCCAAGUGGUAGUAAGAGCAACUCCAUUAUCCAUGUUAUCUAGGCUAUUUUUAUAUUUUUAAAGCAAAAAUUAAAGUCCAACAGGUGUGCUAACUGAUUUACUAAAAUAACAAGUUUGCUAUCUCUAAACUUUCUCUAAACUUUCGCUUGUCAUAUAUAGCACGUCGUCCUCACUAGCUAUCCUAUACAAAUGCUGUUGUGGAAUUCUAUGCUUUGAGUGAGUUUUUUAUUUUAUACAAUGGCUAAAUCUUGUAAUUUAGAAUAUAAUUUUACCUAGUCUCUUGGAGAUGCUCUAAGACGCACAUGUUAACACGGAAUGCUUAGUCCAAUUUCAGCACGUCAGAAAUACAAAAUGCUGUCCAAUUACAGCAAAUGGAAAUUUUCAUACAAAAUUUAGGUGGAAAUAUUUUUUUUUUCACAUGAAAUACAAGACGAUAGUCCAAGUAGCAGUUUCAGAGUCAUGAGAUAGAGAUGAAAAACAAAGAUACUACAGCGAUUUCAAUCCUGUUGUGGUGAGGCAGAAACUGCAGUCCGGCACCUUCAAUCAGGCAGCUGUUGCCGCUUCAAACUACUGGUGAUCCCAACAUCGGCGCCAAAGGAACCCACGCGCCGAGCUGCCUGAUCUACAGCCUGGGACAGCACUAUCCUUGAGCAGCAGCGUGAGCUGAACUACUUCCAAGUAGGCCUUCCAAGUAUUGGGACAGGCCCACAUGCCUCCGUUGAUCAAUCCCUACAUGCAAAAAGGUACAACAAAAGGAGAAUAUUCAGACCAAUGCCCACUGAAGCAAAACCACAAACACUUGGACCACGAGAGCAGAGAGGCUCGUUCGUGUAUCAGUGACCUUCCAACUGUAGUGUAGAGCACAAUGUUAAUCCACAAACUUGCUCUACACUACAACAGGAUUAACAUUAAUUGAGGAGGAGAACAGGGAAGCCUCACGCGCGCGCCGCCGCCGCCGAGCCGCCCCCGCGCGUGCCGAGGCCGAGGCCAGGCAUGGCCUGGCCGGGCUAGGUGGGGUUUUGCUACUCGGCCCAACUGAGAGAAAACCCUAGCCGCCGCCAGCUGCUCAACCGCCAACUCCCAACCACUUUGUCCAGGUUUAUCCCCCCGGACAGGGUAACGGGUGGGAGCCGACAGAGGCGCGCCUAUAUAAAGGCCCCUGUCUGCACACUACGGUUUCAUCCCUUUUGUGUCCAUUUCCCCUCUCCAGCCGUCAUCUUCACUUGAGCUCGAGCUGCUGUGCUGCAUCUCCGACCAGAGCCUCUGCGAGUACAGAGGACUCUGGUAGCAGGCCUCCGGAACUUCUCCCGUCAAGCGUACUCUGCUCGGGGUAGGCGGAAAAUUAAGUUUUUGAGGAGCACCUUCCGAGGUGCGACUUCUUUCUGUUGUCCCAACGUGACUGCGACUGCUUCACCUUCGUCAACUGCUGCUGUGAUGGCUGUCGGUACCAGAAGUACCCCUGCUGCCGGGAAUGACGCCACCAACGACAACACCGCAGGAGGCGAUAGCGACGUCAACCUGACUGGUGGCUCACUUUCCGCGGGUACCGGAAGUGCCACGCUAGGGUAUAAUGCUAAUACUCUCUAUGCGCUUUAUUUUGUUACUAUAGUUCUAUUACUUCGCUUAAAAUAUUUUGCUGGAAGUAGUAGCAGUAGCAAAUAUGAAGCUGUCGCUUGUAUGAUACUUGUGUUAGUAUAUUGGUUAUCGUUUUUAUGGAAUAAUGCAUUGUCACACCCAUAUUUUAAGAACAAAAUAGGAUGCAUAAAAGACUCAUAUGUGCCCAGAAAUAGUCGCACAUAGAAGUAGACAAAUCUCGAAUGUACCAUUGUAGUGUUUAUUACAUAGCGGAACAAUAAUAAAUCACAUAGUCUUACACAAAAAUAAUAUGAGAUAAACAACGCUCUCGUCGGAAGCACCACACAGGGACACUGUUGACUGGUUGACUCCAAACCUAGUACUCAUAACGGUAGUCCUCAUUCCAAGCAUCAUCAUUAUCAUAACCUGGGGUGUUGGGAAAUUACAAGAGUGAGCACAUAUCGUACUCAACAAGUAUAACCAGGGGUUCAUGAGGCUCAAAUAGCUGACACUGGUUUGACUGCAUUUAGCUUUUAAUGGUGGAUAGCAUGUUCAUAAAUUAAUAGCAAAUGUCAAGGUAUCAGUAAUAAUCCAUUAAUCACAUGAUCAAGUGUAAGAAUAAUUAAUUCGUAGCAUAAACGAUAAUCAAAUGAACAUAAUAACAUAACAAGCUCAUCAUCUUAAUAUAGAUGUCUCCAAGGCCGCUCUUGACCGUGAGCUCGGCUAUUAUACCAGUUUUACACUCUGCAGAGGUUGUACAUCUUUACCCAUGAGUCAUGAUUUACCCUUUCUUUCGAGGUAGCUAGUCUCUUAACCACCUUCCUAGGGAGGUCGGCAGGGAUCACUAUGAAGCCUUUCAAAAGUACAUCUAACAUGUUAGGGCUGCAAGGUUUCCUUUGCGCGCAGAUAUAGAUACCCCCCUUCCGAAUGGCAUAAUGACGCGCAGCCUAUACACAUAGGGACAGGGGCUCGCACUAUACCCAAAACGGUUUAGCCCCUCCGCCCUUUCGGGUAACCUCUAACAAGCUAGAAAAGGUCUUCAUACUGAGCUAAAGCCAGAGCCAUUAUAGCCCUCAUGGUUGCACUGUUAUCCCGGGUGAUCACGUACAGACAAGAUCUCAUACAGUUAUUUGUCAUUAUUUUAUGUUCAUUGCAUAGCUAUUAAUCAUCUUACAAGAUCAUGGAUUAUAUCAAGCACUAGCACAUCUACACCAAAUGCAUAACAAGUAGGUAGCAAGGAAUCCAGGUAACAAUCAUCUAUGAUUUUGCUAAGGUCGACAAGGUGAUAGCAUGCAUAUGAUAUAUAUGUGUAGUUAUAAGUGAAUAGGUAACAAGGAUGAUUCCAAAUUAUAUUUGCCUUGAUCAAAGCUCUCCUGAGCCUGCUGGUCCACAAAGGCUUGGUCUUGAUCACCAACGUACGGCUCACCGUCUAUUCCCAAACAUCAAUCAACAACACGCAAUCUAAUGUAGACAAUCAUACACAAAGCAAACAAACUAUAAUCAGAACAUUACACCAACAGUGAGAAAUCAAAGAUAAAAGUUUAUGAAAAUAUUCUACGCAGAGCUACGAUCACACAAACAUAAAGUUCACGAAAAUCAGAACUAAAACGUAGAAGAUAUGAAUUUUCCAAGAUUUCCUAUAGAUAAAUAAUUAAUUAAACACUACUGUGAAAUUAAAAAGUUUCAAAACAGUGAACUAAUACUUUUAACAUGUAGAGCUCGUAAAUACGAAUCUAACGAAAUUUGAAUGGACAAAAACGGAGUUAAAACAAAUAUUUUAUGAGCAAAUUAAGUUCAGUGGCAAACUUGUAAAUAGUGAAAACAUAUUUUGAAUCAAGCUGGCAUGAAGUACGCUUUCAAAGUUAGAAAACGUAAAGUGAGAAGGCGUGUUGGACUGCGGGUUUGAAACCUAAAGAUUCCAGGGACUCUUUAACAACUUUUACCCCGAAGGGGUAUUUUGUAAUCUUGGUCGUUGAUCUUUCAUCGGACGGCACAUGAUCAAUCUGGGGCAACCACCGGCCGGCCGGCCACCGGAGCAGAGGUCCGGCGCGGCGGCGCCAUGGAUAGGGCUCGUUGGAGCUUUACCAAACACGAUACCGGCCUCGGUUUUCGACGGAAAUUGCACAGGGAGAUAGAGUAGUCAAACGCGAACUCACCCAGGGUCUUAUCGCGGGCAGAGGGAGCUCGGGGUGGCCCGGCGUCGAGAUGGGGCGGAUCCUUGGGCCCCUGUGAGGUUCGGCACCAUCUAGAUCAACACAGAGAGGGAGGAAACACGAAAAAGGGCCUUAGGGAGGUGCUCGACCUUGAAGAGAAGCUCGGUGUUACGCUUUAUGCGGCUCCGAGGCAGCACAGAUGAAAAAUCGCGGUGGCGGCUUGUUCUUGAGGUCACCGGGAUCCAAAACGAGACUAGACGGUGGAAUUAGGGCUAGAAAAUAGCGCAGGGAUGGAAAGAAGGAUGCAGAGGGGGUCGUGGAGCCUUAUAGGGCAACUUGGUUUGCUCCCACGCGAUGGAUCCCGCAAGAAUCGGGAUCGUGCGGGUUUUGGAUGCCCUGUUGGAGUCCGGCUCGCACACGGCUGAAGGUUGAAGAAAAGGGCGCCGCUGAUAGGUGGGGUCCACUUGGCAGUGAAUAAACGGCGCGGGGCUGGUUUGCCAGAGAGAGAAGGGACGGGGUCACGCCGCUGGGCUGCUGCGUAAGCUUGGGCCGCUGCUGUGCGCUUGGGCCGGCCUGAGGCGAACUGGGCCAUGGGGAAAAGAAGCAGGCCUUCAGGCCGAAAACCAAGGAGAGAUGAGGGUUUCCUUUUUUUCUUUAUUUUAUUCCAAAGCCAUUUCCAAACCAUUUUAAAAAUCUAUUUGAAAUAUUUUGUCUUUGCUCAAAACCACACAUUGAAUAAAACAUAUGCUCCAAUAUGAAUGCACAUCCAUGUUGCUAAGUCUAUGAUAAAUUUUUAAUUAAAUGAAAAUUAUUAUUUUCCUAUGUUUCGUGAGCACAAAAAUUCAUAAAUAAGUCAUUUUAGCUCUAUUUUCCAGAAAACAAUUUUUUAGGGUGUUACAUGCAUGGUGUAAAAUGACUAAAUAUCCAACAAUCCAAAAACUUAAUUGGUCAUUUUCAUCUGCUAGCUUUGCUGCAUCCAUGAGGCCACCACCUUUAAAGGAUGGUGGAUCCAACUAUAAGAUAUGGUGAUCCCGUUGCACGUUGUGGCUUACCGCUAUGCGCUGUGAGCAUGCUGUCAGGGGAAGGCGCACGGAACCGCCUCUUUCUCCUGAGGAAGAGAGCAAGUUCUGUGAGGCGGAUAACCUGCUCAAGCUAUCGCUCAUUAGCGUGAUAGAUGAGAGUAUGGUACCCCUAUACAUGGACAUGCCUACGGGCAAGGACAUGUGGGAUGCACUGCAGGCCAAGUUCGGAGUUCCUGACGCUAACAGUGAGCUGUACCUCAUGGAGUAGUUCUAUGGCUACAAGAUGGUCGAUGACCGUUCAGUGGUAGAACAAGCUCAUGAGAUACAGAUGCUAGCCAAGGAGCUUGAGAACAACAAGUGUGUGCUUCCCGACAAGUUUGUGGCCGGCGGUAUUAUCGCUAAGCUGCCACCUACUUGGAGGGACUUUGCUACCUCUCUCAAGCACAGGAGGCAUGAGUUCAAUGUGACUGAUCUAGUUGCUUCUCUCAGUGUUGAGGAGAAUGCGAGGGCAAAGGACACACGUGGCAAGAAAGUGCAGACCGAGGGAGGCACUAGCGCCAAUUUGGUGCAGAGGAGGGACCCUCAAGCCUUCCGCAACAGGAAAAACAAGAAGAACAAGAAUCCCAACGUGAGGCCACAACCUCAAGCUUUCAAGAAGAAGGCAAACAAAGAGAAGAAAGGUGGCUGUUGCUUUGUGUGCGGUAGCACUGAUCACUGGGCAAAAGAGUGCCCGGACCGCAAGGAUAAGCAGCAAAAGAAGACAGCCAACAUAGUUGUUAGCGAGGCUGGAGGAUCUGGUUAUAGUAAUUAUAUACCAACAACUCUUUCAGUUUGUCACUCUCUCGAUUGGUGGGUUGACACAGGGGCUAAUAUACAUGUAUGCGCUGACCGCUCUUUGUUCUUUUUGUACUAGGAAGGACGAGGUGCCUCCCUGCUAAUGGGAAACGGUACGCAUACGGCUGUUCAUGGUGUUGGUACGGUCAAUCUGAAGUUUACUUCGGGGAAGACCGUGCAGCUGAAGACCGUGCAGCAUGUCCCUUCCAUAAAGAAGAAUCUCGUCAGCGGAUCCCUAAUCUAUAGGGAUGGUUUCAAACUUUCUUUUGAGUCCAAUAAGUGUGUUGUAUCGAGAUAUGGAACAUUUGUUGGUAAGGGCUAUGAGAGCGGAGGCUUGUUUCGCUUUUCUUUGAUGAAUUCUUGUAAUGUCGUGAACCAUGUGAGACAUGAUGAUGAUUGUAAUAUUUGGCAUUCUCGACUUUGCCAUAUUAAUGUUGGAUGUAUGACACGCCUAGCUAAAAUGAGUUUAAUUCCUAAAUUCGAUUGGGUCCAAGGUUCUAAGUGCCAUGCUUGUGUGCAAGCAAAGCAACCUCGCAAACCUCACAAGGUUGUAAAAGAGGCGACGAACACGGCACCACUAGACCUCAUUCAUUCUGACUUAUGCGAAAUGAAUGGCGUGCUGACCAAAGGUGAGGAUUUCUUUGACACCUACUCACCUAUGGCCCGAUUGACUACAAUUCGAGUACUACUUGCCUUGGCAGCCUGUUGGGUAUUUUAAACUCAAACAGAAAAAUCUGCAAGCGCACGGAUACCGAUGUAGCCUUCACCCGGGAGUAUUCCAGAGUAUCGAUUUUCCACAGGGAACGUGAGUGUACUAAUUAAGAAUCAAGAUCGCCCAAGAAUAACUAUAUAAUUGUUUUUGGUGGGAAGAGAGGAAGUUUCCUGAGAGUUCUCUAGUUGAUCUAAGAAUCAAGAGUUACUUCAAGAUUAUCUAUAUCGGGACAUCAGAGCACUAACCACAGAAAGAGAUGAGAAGGGGGCUAGGAAGGUCUGACUACGGUCCUACAAACACCGAUCCGAACGUGGUGGAAUACGUCGACCGUUAGGGCUGUCACUACCCUAAGGCUACCACAACAAUCCGCAGGAUUGGGUGCAAUUCCAGGUAAUUGCAAGACUAAACACCACGUCUAAUCUAUUAAUUACUACUCUAGCAUUAUAAAGACUAGAGCACUUGAUGCAAGCGGGAAUCCAAUAAAUAACUUGAAUGUAAAUAAAAGUAAUUAGAGAACUCAGGAGUUAUGAAUUGAAGAACCUGGAGAACGAUGAAGAACGAACCAGAUGCUGCAAAAGUAUAAUAUUGAGGAAGAUCCGACAAAUCCGGCUCCUCCUCCGCUCUCCUCUUCUCUCUCCCUAUUUUCUAGAUUACAACUAGAACUAACUAGAACUAGAACUAGAAGAACUAGAACUAGAACUAGAUGAACUAGAACUAGAUCUAGAUGAACUAGAGGUAGAACUAGAAGAACUAGAGGGAUCCUCUCUACUUGGAUGAAGAAUUGAAACCCUAGCUUUGAUUCUGUAGAAGAGGUAUGAUCUCCAGGGUCCAGGGGGGGUCUGGUUUUAUAGUCCCUUCAAGUGAAUCUGGGCCGUCGGAUCAAACCGACAUUGAUCGUGUGGUUUUCCUUGAAGUAUUAGGUCGGUGGAGCGUUGUCCCCGAAUUGGACUCUGUUUGGUCCAGAGGGGAGGGCGGGCGCCCAGUAAGGUAGGGCGGGCGCCCAGUGCCUGAGCCCUCUCGGCCUCCGCUUCGGUCCCGUGGCUUCUGGAGUCUUCUAGAUGGUAGAUAAUUGUGCGGCACGUUAAUAUCUCUAUGUAAACCCGACGUGUGGGCCUUUCUUCCAUAUUUCCUGAUAACCCCCUGCAGAAAUAGACAAACACCAAAACUCGUGGAAUUCUGUCAGAUAAAACCCUAAGUCUAGGUGUUGGUUGCAUAUAGGUCCUUUUCUAUGAUUAGUUGAUGGUUAAUUGUGAGCAUUAAGGACCGUCAACAAGCUCUCCCAAGCUUAACCUUUGCUCGUCCCUGAGCAAAGAUGGACUCAAGAGUUUCUGCAGUGGUUUCAUAACUUAAAGAUACACAUGCGUUUAAACAAGAUCUCAUCUCUGGUUAGAGUAAACUGUUAAGACUUAAAACUUACUCAUUUACCUUUCACCAUGGGACUUGUAACCGCCACUUCUGUCUUGAGUAGUUAAAAGAUAGAAUAGUCUAGUCAAGCGCCAUGUCUCAUGUUCUUGAUCAACUAUAGCUCUGGAGUUUUUGCAGAUUUUCAUAUAAAACUCAAAGAUUCCUUGUAUGACUCUCUCUAGUCUCUCUUUUGUGGUAUUUUUGGAUCCUUACCAAGGCAGUAAUGGUGUAUGCCUUCUCUCAAAGUAUGUGGUAUUUUUGGUAUGAGGCAUAGUGGCAUUGCCUUCUCUCUCACCCUACUCUAAUAAGGUUUUGAUAUCUGGAGCUCAUAGGUGGGAGAUAGCUAAUACAUACCUACAAGACAUUUAUUGCAUAGUCAAACCAUGGAUCCAAAAGAACAAGUCAAUAAAUCAAAUCAUGAUGUGCAUGUGUGGCGAAUGAAUGGUGAUAACAAUGGUGAUGAUGGUGAUAACAAUGGUGAAAGUCUAAUUCUACUUGUGCUCUUUUGAGGGGGUACAUACCUUUCUUGCUCUUUUGAAACUUUUUGAGGAGAAUGAGAUGCUCUAUAUUUUCUUUUCUUUCCUCUCAGGUGGGUAUCUUGUACCCCUAAUUCUACUGUCGGACACUUGUCCAUUUUUACCUCUCGUCUCACUUUUUCUUUUCUUUCGAGGCUCCGGGCACUUGCCCCUUUUUAUUUCCUCGUAUCUUUUUUUUAGAGCACUCAUCUCAUGAGAUAAUAUAGCAAGUGGUAGUAACAAGAUAACUUGAGCAUUUAUUUCACAGGGGAAAAACAGAAAUAUUUUUGGCUAUUCUCUCCCGGAUUAGGAGUAGAAUAUUUUUGGGUGAAUCUGGAUAUGGAAAUGAGUGGAUAUAUGUGGAUGCGUACUUCCGGAGUAGAAGCAGCAUGUAUGAGUGAACGUGCAAGUGAAUCUUGAUUUAACCACAUGACAAGCUCCUAAGGGUCUACACAGCUUGACCACACUCAAUGCUCAUAAGCAGUAAAAAGUAAAUGUGUGGCUCAAAGUCUAGCAAGCAUGUAUAUAUGGCUGUGGUAGGAAUUUAAACACUCAUCAUACAGGAAGUCAUUAUGCAACAUUUUAAAGAUUUUCAAAGAUAAAAUUCUCUAGAAUUCUAGCAUCUCUAGGAACAGAUAAACAGCAGCUCAACCUUCCCAUAUCAUAUCCGUUAACGACUUAGACUCUAGAUCAAGUACUCUUCCCACAAGUUCAGGUUUAGAGCGAAUCUUAAUUAAUAACAGUCAUGCCUAAACUUGAGAGAGAUUUCAAUUUUGAGAACUAAUCAUGGCAAAGCAACUACUCAUCAUUUCCAUGUGAGAGCUUAUCAUGAGGGUUCAUAGCAAACUUUAUUUAUUUAUUUAUUUAGCAAACUAAGAAAAGAUAUAUAUAUAAGCACAAAAUCUUUAUUUGGGUUUUUAUGAUCAUUCAUCUUUUUAUUAUUUGAGUAAAAUAUAAACGUAAGUAGAACACUUAGCUGGAUAAAUGGGGGUGCUCUCCCCCAAGCUGGAUUUUGACGUAAUUUCUUCUGAUGUAGCUAGCACGUGGCGGGGGUGUAUUUGAAUGUCGGCAGCACCCUGACAGCGAUUAUGAUGUCCUCCGUCUGCUAGUCUUCUUUGAUCCUUAAAUUAUGUGGAGCUCAAAUAGACAAUAAAGCUUUGUGGAACUAGUUAAGUGUUAGCAUAAAUAUCUAGCCUUUAUCAUGUUGAGCCUCCUCAAUAAAUGUUACACUCUUUGGUAGGAUCAUAAAUUUAUUUUUAUAUUUUCAUUUUUAUAGGACAGGGAUAUAUUUAUUUUGUUUUUACGCCACCACAGUGAAUGUACUUAUGGGUUUUAUGCCAUAAGCAUACUCACAUGGGGCUUACUAUUUUUAACAUUUUUAUUUUCUUUUCGAGAUGAUAUGAACCUUAUUAACUAAGCAAACUAUUUUAAAUAAUUGAAAGGAAAAAGAUAACUACCAAGUUUACCUCUUGGCAAGGCGUUCGGUGUUUUUAAGUCUUCCGAACGGGACUCUCCAUUUUUCUCAGUCGUCCUGGGAUUCGUUGGAUGGCGUAGUCGGUGGUUCCGACGGUGCUUCCUCUUCGUGUAUAACUAUCUUCUCUUUCCACACCUGACUCGGUGCUACGGUCUCCUCAGGACAGUUCUAUUCAAGUUGUAUAUCUUCAGACCUUACCACUUCUCCUUCAUAGUCUGCCCAUCCGUCCUUGAUGAUUUGCCUCCUCUGGUUGCGGUUGCGUCUUCGUCUUCUUGUCCUGACCUUCUUAGAGUCUUCAAUGAUAUAGUUAGGAUCAGUAAAAUAGCGGCGUACCUUCUCAGAGGGAAAAUGCAUGUGGACUUCUCCGGUUCCAAUGUAGAUGAUUGCUUUAACGGUGCUGAGGAACGGUCUCGCAAGGAUGAUGGGUGAAUUGUACUCGUCUUCUCCGAUCUCAAUAACCUUCAACCUUUCGGAAUGUCUAAUAUGCUAUCUGGAGCUGAAUGUAUGUCGGUUUUAGGGGCAUGGUUCCGAACAGGAGCUGAUAGGUGACUGCGGCCAUUAUGUUGAAGUCAGAUCCGGUGUCGUAGAGUAUCUUCUGUAAGAAAUAUUCGUUGAUUGUGCACUCGAUGCUUGGAACACCAGGGUCGUCCUUCUUGAUCAAGAAAGGCGACUUGAGUUGACGAUCUUAACCUCCUUGAACUGGAGUGACCAUCUUAGCUGACUCAGUCCACAUUUGCUUGUUCCUGCUCCCCCUGUUGAUCCUCUUCCUUGGUUCAUGUCGGGAUUGCUCUGAGAUUUGUGUAGUCUUGUUCUUGAAGGAAAACGUCUCCGUCCUCCCCUUGAUGUAGAAAUUGAUCUUGGCAGCACUAGCGUAGAUGAAAGCUCGUGAGGUGUUCAGGAAUGGCCUCCCUAGGAUGAUGGGUGCCCUCUCAUCAGUAUCAGUCUCUAUCACCAUGAAGUCUGCUGGAGCGUAUAAGGUACCAACUCGGACGCAGAUGUUCUUCAAUAUUCCCUUUGGGAAACUUAGCGUCCGAUCUGCAAGCUCCAAACACAUGGUUGUUUCCAAUAAAGGAUAUGUAAAGAUUUUUCAUAGAGUACCCUGGCAUAAUAUUGACGUUGGAGCCAAAGUCGCAGAGUGCUUCUAGGAAGUCCACCAUGCUGAUGGAGAUCGGGAUGACGGGGCGUCCUGGAUUGUCUCUCUUGACCGGCAGAAGGUCAGCAAUUACUUCCACAACGGGGUUACUCCAGUAGUUGUGUCCUCAAGCAUCUCAGGGCAGUGAUUGCCUGAGUGUCCAGUAUCUCCAGUGUGUUUGUGCUCGUAGAUCUAGGUUCUUCACUUGGUGGAGUCUGGGAGUUAUAAAAGUCCUUCAUAUUUUGCUCCAAGUGUACCUGCUCAUGGAGACAAGGCAGAGAUCAAGUGCAUGGGCCCUGUUGGUGGAAAACACCAACAGAACCAAAAGUGUAUUUGUUCUCUCUAACCUUAAGCAUAGUGAGCAAGACAAAGUUGAUGGAUAAUAAGACCAUGAGUGUAACAUUUAAAACAUUUGUCAGAUCAGAUCACUCAACCUUAUGGAAAGAUAAUCUAUCUAAGUAAAUGUUUUUUUCUUUACAUGACUAUCAUUUUCCAAAGAUUGAGUGUGCAACAUUUUAGCUCAUAUGAUUAGGAUUGUGGGAUCACAAAGGUGGAAAGACUAAACAUGUUGAAUCGAUUGGGUUGGUUAAUCUAGAGUUGUAAAUGUUACAUGUUUGUCUCUUUUACUCAUGUGAAUGCCAGAAAUAAGGAGGACCUUAUAGAAGUGAUAGUCAAGUACCUUAAGAUGUUACCUUUCUUGAAGAGUGAUGGUACAGUAUUACCUUAUGGAAGCUUUCCUUUCUUUGCGGUUGUGCAUCGUGUUGGUGGCACCCUCCAUGCAUCAUCUCUUGUGAGCUAUGUCUUCCUUGUGUAAAUUGUUAAACUUCAUGUGUUUAUCUCUUUGUCUCCAAUGUGAGUUUAUCUCAGGACUUCCCAGGUUGAUGUUGAAAGUUUUUUUUUUCUGCAGGGGUUAGUCUGACAAAAUAUACCAAUGUCUACAUAAGCAGUUUUUAGUUCAAUAACCAAACUAGACUCCAUGUCUAAUUAGAUUAAGGAAGGCUGUUUAACCUAAGCACCAUGCUUAAUUUAAAAACCAAUAGAAGUAUGUACAGUACUUCCAAACUAACACUUACUAGGAUAAACAAAGGUAGCGUGAUGGCUUUUAUAGAGAUCUAUUCAAGUGGAGAUGAAGUAGUGUGAUUACUAUUUAACAAAUUGAGCAUGUCUCAAAGGUAGGGACAACCAACAUAGCAACAUGGCAAAGGAUGUUUUUAUGUAAAGUACUCCCCCAAGCUUGAAUUUCGCAAAAUUCAAGUUUGGAUGAAUUUAAUUCAAUGUUGUAUGAUGAUUGGUUGGACAUACCUUGUGCUUGUCAUUCAUCCGAUCUUCUUGCUCCAAUCCUGGAAAGGUUAGUGACAAGAAUACCCGAAGGAAUAUUUUUACAAUUAUCCUUAUAUGCUCAAUACACAAGGUAAUGUUGCAAAUAAUUAACAGCUCAUGUUACGAUCUAAUCAGUGCUUGUUUUAGGACACUAAGCUUGUCCUUGGGAAACCAUCAAUUUAUGUUAGUGAAGUGGUUUCCCCUCCAACGCUGACCUAUAUCAAGAUCAACUCAACGAGAUCUGCAAUAUUUAAUAUAGACAUAUGCAUCGACAACCACCCUUUUAAAGUUUUUAUAAAUAGAAAAGAUGAGGUGGUUGGAGAUCUCGAAUGUGGUGAUGUUGGAGAGACCAAUGGAUUGUGAAGAUGUUGCAUAUGAGCAUGGAGUAAAUGAAGUGGCUAUGAAAUAAAUUCCAUGCUCAUUAAUGCUUAGAGUGAAAUCCAUGUGGUAUGGUGAAAAUGAUAAGGUGAGUGUGGUAAAAAAAGAAAAGAAAAAGGAUACACGGACGACUUGGUUCGAAACUAGCACAGCUACCGUUCCCCGGCAACGGCGCCAGAAAGCUUGUUGGGUAUUUUAAACGCAAACAGAAAAAUCUGCAACCGCACGGAUACCGAUGUAGCCUUCACCCGGGAGUAUUCCAGAGUAUCGAUUUUCCACAGGGAACGUGAGUGUACUAAUUAAGAAUCAAGAUCGCCCAAGAAUAACUAUAUAAUUGUUUUUGGUGUGAAGAGAGGAAGUUUCCUGAGAGUUCUCUAGUUGAUCUAAGAAUCAAGAGUUACUUCAAGAUUAUCUAUAUCGGGACAUCAGAGCACUAACCACAGAAAGAGAUGAGAAGGGGGCUAGGAAGGUCUGACUACGGUCCUACAAACACCGAUCCGAACGUGGUGGAAUACGUCGACCGUUAGGGCUGUCACUACCCUAAGGCUACCACAACAAUCCGUAGGAUUGGGUGCAAUUCCAGGUAAUUGCAAGACUAAACACCACGUCUAAUCUAUUAAUUACUACUCUAGCGUUAUAAAGACUAGAGCACUUGAUGCAAGCGGGAAUCCAAUAAAUAACUUGAAUGUAAAUAAAAGUAAUUAGAGAACUCAGGAGUUAUGAAUUGAAGAACCUGGAGAACGAUGAAGAACGAACCAGAUGCUGCAAAAGUAUAAUGUUGAGGAAGAUCCGACAGAUCCGGCUCCUCCUCCGCUCUCCUCUUCUCUCUCCCUAUUUUCUAGAUUACAACUAGAACUAACUAGAACUAGAACUAGAAGAACUAGAACUAGAACUAGAUGAACUAGAACUAGAUCUAGAUGAACUAGAGGUAGAACUAGAAGAACUAGAGGGAUCCUCUCUACUUGGAUGAAGAAUUGAAACCCUAGCUUUGAUUCUGUAGAAGAGGUAUGAUCUCCAGGGGCCAGGGGGGUCUGGUUUUAUAGUCCCUUCAAGUGAAUCUGGGCCGUCGGAUCAAACCGACAUUGAUCGUGUGGUUUUCCUUGAAGUAUUAGAUCGGUGGAGCGUUGUCCCCGAAUUGGACUCUGUUUGGUCCAGAGGGGAGGGCGGGCGCCCAGUAAGGUAGGGCGGGCGCCCAGUGCCUGAGCCCUCUCGGCCUCCGCUUCGGUCCCGUGGCUUCUGGAGUCUUCUAGAUGGUAGAUAAUUGUGUGGCACGUUAAUAUCUCUAUGUAAACCCGACGUGUGGGCUUUUCUUCCGUAUUUCCUGAUAACCCCCUGCAGAAAUAGACAAACACCAAAACUCGUGGAAUUCUGUCAGAUAAAACCCUAAGUCUAGGUGUUGGUUGCAUAUAGGUCCUUUUCUAUGAUUAGUUGAUGGUUAAUUGUGAGCAUUAAGGACCGUCAACACAGCCUCUCAUGGUCUUCUCGUUCAUCAGAUGGACGUGAAGACUGCUUUCCUAAAUGGAGAGCUAGAAGAGGAGAUCUACAUGGAUCAGCCUGAUGGGUUCGUAGUAGAAGGUCAAAGGGGCAAGGUGUGUAAAUUAUUGAAGUCUUUGUAUGGCCUAAAACAAGCUCCUAAACAAUGGCACGAAAAGUUUGAUAAGACCAUGACGUCAACAGGCUUUGUUGUCAAUGAGGCCGACAAAUGUGUCUACUACCGUUUUGGUGGAGGAGGAGUAAUCCUGUGCCUAUAUGUGGAUGACAUCUUAAUAUUUGGCACGAACCUCAAUGUGAUUGAGGAAGUCAAAAACUUUCUGUCCAAGAACUUUGACAUGAAGACUUGGGAGUGGCUGAUGUGAUUUUAAACAUUAAGCUACAAAAGGGAGAAAAUGGUGGGGUUACUCUUAUGCAGUCCCACUAUGUUGAAAAGAUUCUAAGUCGCUUUGGCUACAGUGACUGUAAACCCGUGUCCACUCCCUUUGAUCCAAGUCUAAUUCUAAGAAAGAACAAAAGGAUCAUGAGAGACCAAUUGAGGUACUCCCAAAUCAUUGGCUCACUAAUGUACCUAGCCAGUGCAACAAGACCUGACAUCUCAUACGCUGUGAGCAAGUUGAGCUGGUUUGUAUCAAACCCGGGAGAUGAUCAUUGGCGUGCUCUUGAGAGAGUAAUGCGGUAUCUAAAGGCAACGGCAAGCUAUGGCAUACACUAUACCAGGUACCCAAAUGUACUGGAGGGUUUCAGUGAUGCAAAUUGGAUAUCUGAUGCUGACGAGUUAAAAGCCACCACUGGGUAUGUGUUUACCCUUGCGGGUGGUGCUGUUUCCUGGAAGUCUUGCAAGCAGACAAUCAUCAUAAGGUCAACUAUGGAAGCAGAACUUGCAGCACUGGAUACCGCCACUGUUGAAGCCGAAUGGCUUUGAGAACUCCUGAUGGAUUUGCCGGUGGUUGAAAAACCUGUGCCCGCCAUCUCCAUGAACUGUGAUAAUCAAACUGUGAUAAUCAAAGUGAACAGUUCUAAGGAUAACUUGAAGACCACAAGGCAUGUAAAGCAGCGCCUAAAGUCUGUCAGAAAAUUGAGAAACUCGGGAGUGAUAGCGCUGGACUAUGUCCACACGUCUAAAAAUCUGGCAGAUCAAUUCACCAAGGGGAUGUCACGUAAUGUGAUAGACAGUGCAUCGGUUGAGAUGGGACUGAGACCCACUUAAGUUUGCUAUAGUGGUAACCUGCUCUAUGUGAUCGGAGAUCCCGUGAAUUAGAGUGGUGAAACAAGCUAUGAGUAGACUAAGGGAAAAGACCCUUGACUAAAGUCCCAAUCUUUCAGAUAUGCAUUUCUUUUCCAAGCUGUAAGGAAGGAUGGCAUACGCCUUAAUGUGAUCCGAGUGGCUUAUUUGAGCAGGGAUGUCGGCCUACAGGACAUCCUAAAAGGAACACACCUAUGUGAGUUAGACUGCUGGUCCCAGUCUAUGAGAUUUGGGUGAUCUCUAGAUACUCACGAGAAGGCACGAAAUUUGACUUAUAUGCUCCACCCGAGGAGGUGCUCUAGGCAGCCUUGUAUCGGUAAAGAAUUUGAGUGAACCUCAUUUCACACAAAACUGUCAAUUCAAAGCUUAGUCCAUUGAUCAGUUGUGAAUGAGUGUAAGCUCCUUUUCUAGAUGGAAGUUCAACUUAACAGUCUCCAUCGAAACACCGGUAUAUCAAACAAGCUCAAAACUGAAGGCAUUAACUAUGUACCUUUGACGUUUGGUGGGGAUUGUUAGAGUAAUUGGGCCAGGCCCAUUCUAAUAAUUCAAUAAAACCUCAAAGGUCCACAAUUAGUGUUAGUUGCAAAAGUGAUUAGUACCAAAUGGAUUAAUCACUAGCAAGGCAAUCAACUUAAAUAGUGAGCCUUGGGAUGCUCCAAUAGUCAAGUUGAGGAGGAGAACAGGGAAGCCUCACGCGCGCGCCGCCGCCGCCGCCGAGCCGAGCCCCGCCGCCCGCCCGCCCGCCCGCGACGCGCCGAGGGCGUGGGCGUGGCCUGGCCUGGCCUAGCCUAGCCAGGUGGGGUUUUGCUACUCGGCCCAACCGAGAGAAAACCCUAGCCGCCGCAGUCCAACGGCCAAAGGGGGAAACCCUAGCCGCCGCCAGCUGCUCAACCGCCAACUCCCAACCACUUUGUCUAGGUUCAUCCCCCCGGACAGGGUAACGGGUGGGAGCCGACAGGGGCGCGCCUAUAUAAAGGCCCCUGUCUGCACACUACGGUUUCAUCCCUUUUGUGUCCAUCUCCCCUCUCCAGCCGUCACCUUCACUUGAGCUCGAGCUGCUGUGCUGCAUCUCCGACCAGAGCCUCUGCGAGUACAGAGGACUCUGGUAGCAGGCCUCCGGAACUUCUCCCGUCAAGCGUACUCUGCUCGGGGUAGGCGGGAAAUUAAGUUUUUGGGGAGCACCUUCCGGGGUGCGACUUCUUUCUGGUGUCCCAACGUGACUGCGCCUGCUUCACCUUCGUCAACUGCUGCUGUGAUGGCUGUCGGUACCAGAAGUACCCCUGCUGCCGGGAAUUACGCCACCAACGACAACACUGUAGGAGGCGGUAGCGACGUCAACAUGACUAGUGGCUCACUUUCCGCGGGUACCGGAUGUGCCACGCUAGGAUAUAAUGCUAAUACUCUCUAUGCGCUUUAUUUUGUUACUAUAGUUCUAUUACUUCGCAUAAAAUAUUUUGCUAGAAGUAGUAGCAGUAGCAAAUAUGAAGCUGUCGCUUGUAUGAUACUUGUGUUAGUAUAUUGGUUAUCGUUUUUAUGGAAUAAUGCCUGGUGUAAAAUGACUAAAUAUCCAACAUAUUCUUGGAAUGACUUACAAUUUGUAAUAGAGAGAGUAUUUUUUAUAGUUGCAGAUAUGUUGGCCAUUAUUAUUGCCAGAGUAAAAAAGGAUGGACAAAUAAAAGGGGUAGCACCUAAUUUGGUAUAGGAUGGGUCAUCUAUCUUGCAAUACGCAUAUGACAUGUUGUUAUAUUUAGAUCAUGAUAUUGAACAGCAAAGAACAUGAAGUUGAAGUUGCUUCUAUGCUCUUUUGAACAAUUAUCGAGUCUCAAAAUUAACUUUCAUAAGAGUAAAAUCUUUUUUGCUUCGUAGAAGCAAAACAUAGUAAAUAUAUUUACUCAAAUAUUUUUUGUUUGCAAAGCUAGGCUCUUAUCCUUUUUGUUACCUUGGUGUUCCAAUGCAAGUUAAAUAACAAACAUUGGAAGAAGGUGGCGGAACAUAUAGAAAAAAAGCCUAGCAAUUGGAAAGGAAAACAUCUGUCUGUUGGGCAUAGACUGGUGUUGAUUAACUCAGCCAUGUUAAACCUACCUAUGUUUAUGCUCUCAUUCUUCAAAAUCCCUAAAGAAUUUUUGAAGAAAAUAGAGUAUUACAUAUCAAGGCUUUUUGGCAAACGAACACCAUAAAAAGAAAUAUAGACUAGCUAAAUGGACUUUAUUAUGUCAGCCCAAAGAAAAAGAAGGUCUAGGUAUUCUAAACCUAGAAUUACAAAAUAAAUGUCUUUUGAGUAAAUGGCUCUUUAAGUUGUGUAAUGAGUAGGGGGUUUUGUAACACCCCAGUGCUAUGGUUGCAUUAAUCAUGUGCAUACCAUGAGCAUCAUCAUCUACUCAAAGCAUAUCAUGAUCAUCAUCUACCUUGAGCCAUGUCAUUCUAUGCUAAAAUGUGUUUUAAAUUGCUUAAAUAGGCUUCCUAUGCUUAUAAUUGAAUGAACCAUGCUUGUGUUUGUGCUCAAUGCCUUGGUAAUUAGUUUAUCUAUGCUUAACUUAACUUUAGGAACAAUGUUCAUGUUGGUCACUUCUCCAAAAUAUGCCUUUAAGUCAUACUUAUGAAAAUAGGACCUAGAAACCUCUUUUGCUUAGGCUUUUAAAAAGUGUUCCAUAAAAUGUUUGCAUGUCAAAACUUUCUACAGCAAAGUUGUAGCAAAUUUUAUAAGGAACAAAAGUUGUUUUAUGGCCAUCUCAUGAAAAUGAUCACAAAUAGCUCAAAAGUGACCCACAAGGCAAAUUUGGGGCUGUUUCCAACACUUAGAAAAUUUCUCUAAGUCUGGAAUCACUGCAGUUUGCUCGAGGGGGUAUUGUUCAUCUUCUAGUUUGAAUUCUAGGCCGAAUCAAACUAUGAUCUUGUAAGCAAUGUUGGAGUACUCUUGUAGCUCUCCAGCAUAGAGCAAUUAGCCAGCAAAAUCAUCGAGUGGUUUAGGAGAUAAUCAUCGUGCAAAAUCGAGUUUCAGUCGGUGAUCGCGAGGUCUGAUGCAGAGCUGAGCUCGCCGUCGUGGACGCCCAGCGCGACAUCUGUCCGCCAGAUGGCACCCAUACGCCGGCGACGGCCCCGCUCGUCAGGUCGUCGACGUUGGCAUGGAUGCCACGGCGCCCCGCACUCACUCAGCGCCCGUCCAUUCUCCUCCUCCGCUCUCUCGCGCUCGCUCUGGUGGAAAACGCCGUCGCCAUUGCCGCCGAGAGCUUCACCCGCUCCUCGCGCCCUCGUCUCUGCGUCUUGCUUCGCCUCCGAGCACCUCCAAGUCCGCCUCGAGCUCCUCCAUCUUCUCCACCCUUCAGUUGGACGAGAUCUCCCCGAGGUGAGCGGCAUUUCGCGAGUUCUCCGUCGUCGGGUUCGCGGCCGUCGCGACACCGACUCCGGCGAACCUCGCCGCUGCUCCACCCUUGCUUCCUUUCUUUUCGCUGAGUAGCGUUAGGUUAUGCUUAGGUCUUGGCGUCGGUCCACACCACGCCAUUUCGGCUAUGGCCUCACCGUCGCGCGGGAACACGGCCGCUGCACCGCCGUGCUCACCGCCGACGAGCACCUCGCACGUGAGGAGGUUCACCGGAGCCGUUAGGGUUAGGCGUUCCUACCUCGAAAGCUCCGCGCUGACUCACUAAUGCUGUAGCCACCCUUCCCCGACGCUCUACCGGUCGGAGAUGGCCGGCGUAAGCCGGGGUAGCUCCGCCGUGGCGCCAUGGCCGACGGCGACCCCUCUCUGUAGCCGAAACCCUAGCGCCACCUACCUCAAUCGACGCGGAAUCUUUCCAGGAGCACGUUGGUGCCCUUGGAUCCGCUGGAGGAGCUCACCGUCGGUGAGCGUUUGCCGGCGAAAGAGUCCUCUAUUUUUGGUGUCACUGACGCGCGGGUCCCGUUUGCCAGUGACUCAACGGUCACCCCCUUUCUUUUAUUCAAAUCUGGAUUUUUGGCUUUCUUGCAAAAAUCAUAACUCCUGUUUCCGAGAUCCAAAAAUUGUGAAACAAAUUUUGUGGUAUUCCUUGAGAUGGCUAGUUUUUAAUAAAAAUAUAAAAUGAACCAUGUUUUCUGGGAAAAUAUUUAUUAAGGAUUUAAUCUUGUUAUUCUUUGAUAAAUGCAUAUCUAUUGUGAUAUUGCUUAGUUUGCUCUGAAAAUUUUUUGGUAGCCUCUGCCUAGUAUUAGAGUGCUUUGGUAAAUAUUUCAUGAUUUUUGGUGUACUGCAGCUUUGAUAUGCAAUUUAUGAUUGAAAUGUGGCUUGUUUCUUUAAUUAAAUCACAUAAAAUAAUUGGUACUUAUGCUGGUGCUCUACUUUGGUAGUAAACCUGUUUAUAGCAUUCCUCAUGUGUAAAUAAUCUGAAAUCUGUUGUUUGGCAAAAUACAAGUCAUGUUUCCCAAUUUAUGAAAUAAGCACCUAGCUACAUGGUAAAUAUAUAUCUUUAUUUUGGUAUGUGCAUUUGCUCUGAAAUUUUUAUGGUGUUACUGUAAUGCUAUACUUGUGCCUCUGUAAUUUUUGUAGAUUUUUCUGAGCACUUUGACUAGUACCUUGUAAUUAUGCCCUUUUCUAGAAUUAAUUAAUAAAUGCCUUGUUAAGUAAAUAUUUGAGGGUGAUCAUUUGGUGUUCUGGUAACCUGGUGAUAUGCUUGUGCUCAUAAGCCAUGUAGUUGGCAUGGUUUAUGUCUUGGUCAUGUCAUCAAAUAAUUAAUUAAAGGGUUAAAAGCUGUUCUGGGCAGCAAGGGAAUAAUUUAACUUUUGAUUAAUGAUAACUUGCUUUUCUGGGAAACUUGUCUAAAUCAAAGUUGUUGUAAACUUAUUGAACUAGCUGUGUUUUAAAUUUGGGAUCAUUUGGUCCAGUAGUUUGAAAGUUAUGGCUGUUCCAAGUUAGGUUCCAGAAAUAGGUGCUCUCUGUUUUUCUGGGACAGAGUAUGGAACUUUGUUUAAUUGACAAGUUUAUUUUAUGAAUAUUGUUGUGAUGUUUAAAGAUGAUUUGUAGACAAUUUCAUAAGCUUUCCAGAAUGUCUUCACUUAUCUUUGUUGGAGCUGUCUAUUAUUAGUUAUGAUCUGUUUACUGAGUACUCCUGUUGUGUGUUGCUUACUGGUUUAGUAUCAUGAUAUGUUUUGGGUUAAGUAACUUGUUAGCUUGUGAGAGCUUGUUAUAACUGUGUUACUCCGUAAGUGAGUGCCCAGUGAGUCCAUUAUGUUAUCAAGCAUUCAUUCUUUUGUAUGCACACUUUCUUAUUCACCGAGCAUGCAAUAGGUGCAUCGGACGCGGCUGUCUCUUUCAAAAGUUUACUUAAUAUGUUAUAUCUAUUGAUGCAUUAAGUUUAGGAGUUGUGGUGAAAACCUUGAUGCACUUUAUUCCAUCCUUGUCCAGAUAAUUCAUCCUACCCUGGUUAUAGAGUUAGGAUCGAGUAGCAGUCUAGUCAUGCUUAAACGGUAGAAGUCGGGUGAUUUCCUGUCACCUGCGCGAGAUAGGGUUAUGUCGGAUCACGAUGGUCUAUAUGUGCUAUCGUGGAUGGAACCUGAUUAAUUUGACUUAAGCCGGACGGAGUUUUGCAAGUUUGUAGUAACUCCGUCUGUGGCAGCUAAGGACCGAUCGUUGUACGUCCUCUUGUCAUGUUGAACGCAUGCCUAACACUUAGUUGGCCGGAUAACUCGUUCCGACCGCGAAGUCGAGUAGUAUGACUCAGGCCGGAAGACCGGCAAGUAUAAAGUGCGCACUACCGGAGAAAGUGCGGUGUGCGGGGGACCAUUGGCGUAAGUCCAAAGGCAGGUGAGUUAAAAUUCCUGACCUCCCUGGCAGAGUGGUAGCCCUGGGAGUGCGGCGCUGAUCGGAGCCGCGAUUCCUGAGUUGUACCAAAGGUGACCCGUUGGCUCUCCGGCAGGGGAUGCUUGGGUGAGUGCUAAUAAUAACCCUCCAGCUGGAUAGGAAUUCGAUUCGAAUCGCCGUCUCUCCCGGUUAGUGAGAACUUGACAGAGCAGCGGCAAACGUAGCAUCCACUAAUGAACUUGGUUCCUGGAAAUGAUGAUAGCAGGAAGAACAUAUGAUGAACUUUAUAUGGUUAUUAUUGCUUGUAAUAAUCAAGUGAUGUGUUGUAGUACAUGUGCUAAUCUAGUGGUAGGCUGAUGAUAAAUAAAUAUGAUGCUCUCAAAAUAACUUAGUCGUAAGUUAAGCUUUUGGCAAAAGGUGAGUCAACCAGCUCCACUUGAUAUUUAGCCUUGCAUGAUCCUUGGUGUCUUUUAUGUUUUACUAGACGGGUAAGUCUAGCUGAGUAGAUUCUCGUACUCAGGGUUUAUUCCCACCUGUUGCAGAUGACAUCUUCUAUGACGGUUUCUGCAAGACCUGUCUCCAUCCCGCUGGGGAUGAGGACUAACCGUUGGGCACGGUUCUCUAACAACUUCGUACCUGUUGCUUUUGGAAGGAUGGUGUAGACUCUGGCAGUAACUCAAACUUAUUAACUGAACUUUGGAAAGUGUGUGUAACUAUUUCGCUUCCGCUACUUCGAACAAGUGUUGUAAUAACUUAAUACUCCGAUGUGGUGCCGCUUCGACGGCAAUGAAUGACUAUGUAGCAAUCAUUUUGUUUAUGUUGAACUAUUACGAUCUUGGUUUGUUGCGAGUUGGUUUGAAGUCCUUCGUGAUUUCAAUUGACUACCGGGAUUAUAUGGGCUCAAGUUUGGAAACUUGAUUGCUUGUCGAUCGUUUCUACACUUGAACUCUUAUAAUUUGUCGGUUCUGUGACAGCUGGCAUCGGAGCAAGUUCAGCAUUAUAAAUGCAGCAUUUGUGUAUUUAAAACAAAAGAGUUUUUAAAUAAAAUGGUGUAAAACAAAUAAUUAAGUUAUGGCAGUGGUCGAAUCCUCCUUUCCCACAUAAGGACUCUAGGUGGCUAAUUAAGUACUGACUUGGGGGUUUUAUUUAUGCAUCUCCCGCAGUACUCAGGUAUGGAUGUGUGAUGACCGCACUAUGCUACCCUGUGGUCUAAUGGUGGAGGUAGCCUUCAUAUGUGAAUUAGCCACAUAUGUCGCUAGAUUUAAAUUAUGCAACGUCGCACCUACGCCUUGGUAAGUGUGAGCUGUGAGAGCAUGAUCGUCCAAACGGCGGUCUAGGGGAGUGUUCGCGGUGGUUUUCUGGAGUGGUUACAUGUCGAAACCAUGGAACCACGAAAGAAACUUAAUUGGGGAGUAUUUAAUUUCUCGGGUAGUUGUGGUGUCAUUGUUUGUGCAUGUUGGGCAUGUCCAAGCAAUGUGCACUUAGUUUACUGCUUUCUUGAGUGAUAUAUUGGGAAUUGUUGGGCUGAAAUGAAGUUUUCUGCAGGUACUCUAACAGCACACGUGUAAAUCGAUAGUUAUCGUAUCGAGAGCCGAAUGUAUGCCACCGUAUAUCUGUUAGAAUAUUGAUUUUCUAAGUUUGUGAGGACGUACGGUUCGUGCAUGCAUCAUGUCGCAUUCAUACAUACAUUCUGUCUACCCUUCCCUUACAAUUGCGUCCCUUUUUAAAUAAAUAAAUGUUGCUUAAACUAAUUCUCUUUUACCCAUGGUAUUCCUAUUCCUUUCCACAGAUGGACGCACCCGCUUCACCCCGUCCCAGUGACACUUUCUUGCACGAGUUUGGUACUCCUACCCUGCUCUGGAGAGUGUUACGGACUGUUGGGUAUACUGAGCCACCUCAGUAUUCUUGGUGGGAGAUGGAGAGCACAGGAGGGAUUCAGUGGUUUGCUGUGCAGGGCGUUGUCCCUCCACAUGGGGACAAGCCUGCAUGGACAGGCUGGACUUGCAGCUCAGAUGGGCAGACUCCCUGGGAGGCAGCUCAGGUUGCAGCCCAGACUAUCCUGCUCGAUAUCUGUCAGAGGUGUGGAGAUGAGCUGACGGGAGGACCAGCGGCUUCCAUUCCCAGUGCUGACCCAGCAGCAGCAGAGUGGAAACAGGCUGACGGUUGUGCUUUGGUUCGAGGCAGGGGAGAGAGGGCUGAGAGUUCUAGUCCUGCUAUGAGUGCUAUGAUGGCUGUGCUCAAGCUGAUCAGUCAGCGAGAGGGCACCUAUGCACAGGUGAUGGUGACUGUUCGUAGGGCCCAGGAGAUGCAGCGGAAGGCUAAAAAGCGUGCUCGCAAGUUUUGCAAGCAAGCUAGACUCCUGGAGCAAGCUCAGAAGGACCGCAAUGACUGGGAGGACAUUGCGGAGUACCGUAGGCAGUAGUGGGUGAAGGCCAUUAGAGAGAGAGAUCAUAAGCAGGAUCAGAUGAGCCAGUUAGCUAGAGAGAGGGAGACCUUACAGGAGCGCUUGGUGCAGCUCACCCGUGAAAGGGAUACUGCACUCCGCGUGUCGGAGAACAGGCGCCAAGCAUGGGAGAUGCACCGAGUUCAGUCGCUUGAGCGGGAGAACUAUCUGCAGGAUCAGAUUGAGGCUGGUCUUGUGGAGAUUCACCGUCUCAACAACUUGCUACACCCUAUUCCUCGCCCUAUACCCGUGUAUCCAGAGGUGGAACCUCAGGUGAUUGUGGCCGAUGAUGAUGGUAUGGAGGUCGAUGGACCAGCAGCGGCUGCACCACCUUUGCACGAGGACGUGGAGGACGAGGAGCUCGAGCCGGUUAGCGAUGAGGAUGGAGAGGCGAUCUUCGACGCUGACUCGGAUGACGAGCCUGGAGUGUAGGGAGUAGUGGGUAGUGUUAUGUGAGGAUCUUUUGUAGUUGGCAGCUAGUGGUGAUGCUUUUGUAACCAUGUUGUAAUCUGGAACCUUGACCUUGACUCAUGGCAUGUACUGUGAUGGUGUAAUAACUUUAUGGACCCGAGGUGCAAUCUUAACAUGUUUGUUAUGCUAUGACGACGUUUUCCGUUGUGGUGCAUUUUGCGGAUAUCUCUGUCAUGUGUUGGAUUGGUGAUGUUGUUUUGUGGAAUUGAAUAAUUGUGCCUUUUCUGUAAAUCUAUUCUCUCGAAUACUUUUAGGCAUAAAUAUAAGUUCUUCUGCGGCAAAUCUUGUCAUCAUCAAUGCUCACUGACUGUGUCUUUACAGAUGUCUCGUGGCACCCGAGGUGCGGAACAGCGUGCAAACAUGAAUCCACCCCCUCCUCCUCCACCACCAAAUCCAGCUGAGCUGAUGCAAAUGAUGGUGGAAAAUCAGAGGAUGCUCACUGAGACCAUCAAUCGGAUGGCAAAUCCGGGUGGUCGUAAUGCAUAGAAGGGCCCGCUCCUAACCAGUACAGUAGCUUCAAGGACUUCAUGGAUACUGUUGGGUAUUUUAAGCGCAAACAGAAAAAUCCGCAAGCGCACGGAUACCGAUGUAGCCUUCACCCGGGAGUAUUCCUGAGUAUCGAUUUUCCACAGGGAACGUGAGUGUACUAAUUAAGAUCCAAAAUCGCCCAAGGAUAACUAUAUGAUUAUUUUUGGUGGGAAGAGAGGAAGUUUCCUGAGAGUUCUCUAGUUGAUCUAAGAAUCAAGAAUUACUUCAAGCUUAUCUAUAUCGGGACAUCAGAGCACUAACCACAGAAAGAGAUGAGAAGGGGGCUAGGAAGGUCUGAGUACGGUCCUACAAACACCGAUCCGAACGUGGUGGAAUACGUCGACCGUUAGGGCUAUCACUACCCUAAGGCUACCACAACAAUCCACAGGAUUGGGUGCAAUUCCAGGUAAUCGCAAGACUAAACACCACGUCUAAUCUAUUAAUUACUACUCUAAUGUUUCAAAGACUAGAGCACUUGAUGCAAGCGGGAAUCCAAUAAAUAACUUGAAUGUAAAUAAAAGUAAUUAGAGAACUCAGGAGUUAUGAAUUGAAGAACCUGGAGAACGAUGAAGAACAAACCAGAUGCUGCAAAAGUACAAUGUUGAGGAAGAUCCGACAGAUCCGGCUCCUCCUCCGCUCUCCUCUUCUCUCUCCCUAUUUUCUAGAUUACAACUAGAACUAACUAGAACUAGAACUAGAGGAACUAGAACUAGAACUAGAUGAACUAGAACUAGAUCUAGAUGAACUAGAGGUAGAACUAGAAGAACUAGAGGGAUCCUCUCUACUUGGAUGAAGAAUUGAAACCCUAACUUUGAUUCUGUAGAAGAGGUAUGAUCUCCAGGGGCCAAGGGGUCUGGUUUUAUAGUCCCUUCAGAUGAAUCUGGGCCGUCGGAUCAAACCGACAUUGAUCGUGUGGUUUUCCUUGAAGUAUUAGGUCGGUGGAGCGUUGUCCCCGAAUUGGACUCUGUUUGGUCCAGGGGGGAGGGCGGGCGCCCUCAGGACUAGGGCGGGCGCCCUGUCCGAGAGGCCUCUCGUCUUCCGCUUUGUUCCCGUGGCUUCUGGAGUCUUCUAGAUGAUAGAAAAUUGCGCGGCACGUUAAUAUCUCUAUGUAAACCCGACGUGUGGGCCUUUCUUCCAUAAUUCCUGAUAAUCCCCUGUAGAAAUAGACAAACACCAAAACUUGUGGAAUUUUGUCAGAUAAAACCCUAAGUCUAGGUGUUGGUUCCAUUUAGAUCCUUUUCCAUGAUUAGUUGAUAGUUAAAUGUGAGCAUUAAGGACCGUCAACAAGCUCCCCCAAGCUUAACCUUUGCUCGUCCCUGAGCAAAGAUGGACUUAAGAGUUUCUGCAGUGGUUUCAUGCUUUUAAAGGUACACAUGCGUUCAAACAAGAUCUCAUCUCUGGGUUAGGGUAAACUGUUAAGAUUUAAACUUACCCAUUGUACCUUCCACCAUGGGGCUUGCAACCGUCACAUGUGUCUUGAGCAGUUAAAAGAUAGAACGGUCUAGUCAAGCACCAUGUCUCUUGUUCUUCGAUUAACUAAAGCUCUGGAGUUUUUGCAGAUUUUCAAAUAAAACUCAGAGAUUCCUUGUAUGACUCUCUCAGAUCUCUCUUUUGUGGUAUUUCUGGAUCCUUACCAAGAUAGUGAUGGUAUAUGCCUUCUCUCAAAGUAUGUGGUAUUUGUGGUAUAAGGCAUAGUGACAUUGCCUUCUCUCUCACCCUACUCUAAUAAGGUUUUGAUAUCUGGAGCUCAUAGGUGGGAGACAGCUAAUACAUACUUACAAGACAUUUAUUGCAUAGUCAAACCAUGGAUCCAGAAGAACAAGUCAAUAAGUCAAAUCAAGAUGUGUAUGUGUGGCGAAUGAAUGGUGAUAACAAUGGUGAUGAUGGUGCUAACAAUGGUGAAAGUCUAAUUCUACUUGUGCUCUUUUGAGGGGAUACAUACCUUCCUUGCUCUUUUGAAACUUUUGGGGAGAAUGAGAUGCUCUAUAUUUUCUUUUUCUUUUCUCUCAGGUGGGUAUCUUGUACCCCUAAUUCUACUGUCGGACACUUGUCCAUUUUUACCUCUCGUCUCACUUUUUCUUUUCUUUUCUUUCGAGGUUCCGGGCACUUGCCCCUUUUUAUUUCCUCGUAUUUAUUUUUUUCUCUCUUCUUUUUUUUUUCUUUUUUUUAGAGCACUCAUCUCCUGAAAUAAUAUAGCAAGUGGUAGUAACCAAGAUAACUUGAGCAUUUAUUUCAAAGGGGAAAAAUAGAAAUAUUUUUGGCUAUUCUCUCCCGGAUUAGGAGUAGAAUAUUUUUGGGUGACUCUAGAGAUGGAAAUAGAUGGAUAUAUGUAGAUGCGUACUUCCGGAGUAGAAGCAACAUGUAUGAGUGAAGGUGCAAGUGAAUCUUGAUUUUAACCACAUGACAUGCUCCUAAGGGUCUACACAGCUUGACCACACUCAAUGCUCAUAAGCAGUAAAAAGUAAAUAUGUGGCUCAAAGUCUAGCAAGCAUGUAUAUAUGGCUGUGGUAGGAAUUUAAACUCUCAUCAUACAGGAACUCAUCAUGCAACAUUUUAAAGAUUUUCAAAGAGAAAAUUCUCCAGAAUUCUAGCAUCUCUAGGAACAGAUAAACAGCAGCUCAACCUUCCCAUAUCGUAUCCGUUAACGACUUAGACUUUAGAUCAAGUACUCUCCCCACAAGUUCAGGUUUAGAGCAAAUCUUAAUUAAUAUCAGUCAUGCCUAAACAUGAGAGAGAUUUCAAUUUUAAGAACUAGUCAUGGCAGAGCAACUAUUCAUCAUUUCCAUGUGAGAUCUUAUCAUGAGGGUUCAUAGCAAAUUUUAUUUAUUUAUUUAUUUAGCAAACAAAGCAAAGAUAUAUAUAAGUACAAAAUCUUUAUUUGGGUUUCUAUGAUUAUGUAUCUUUUUAUUAUUAGAGUAAAGUAUAAACAUGAGUAGAAUACUUAGCUGGAUAAAUGGGGGUGCUAUCCCCCAAGCUGGAUUUUGACGUAGUUUCUUCUAAUGUAGCUAGCAAGUGGUGGAGGUGUAUUUGAAUGUCAGCAGCACCCUGACAGCGAUUAGGAUGUCCUCCGUCUGCUAGUCUUCUUUGAUCCUUGAAUUCUGUGGAGCUCAAAUAGACAACAAAGCUUUGUGGAACUAGUUAAGUGUUAGCAUAAAUAUCUAGCCUUUAUCAUGUUGAGCCUCCUCAAUAAAUGUUACUCUCUUUGGUAGGAUCAUAAAUCUAUUUUUAUAAUUUUAUUUUUAUAGGACAGGAAUAUAUUUAUUUUAUUUUUAUGCCACCACAGUGAAUGUACUUAUGGGUUUUAUGCCAUAAGCAUACUCACAUGGGGCUUACUUAACAUUUUUAUUUUCUUUUCAAGAUGAUAUGAACCUGAUUAACUAAGCAAACUAUUUUAAAAAUAAUUGAAAGGAAAAAGAUAACUACCAAGUUUACCUCUUGGUAAGGCGUUCGGUGCUUUUAAGUCCUCCGAACGGGACUCUCCGUUUUCUCAGUCGUCAUGGGAUUCGCUGGGUGGCGUAGUCGGUGGUUCCGGCGGCGCCUGCUCUUCAUGUAUAACUAUCUUCUCUCUCCACACCUGACUCGGUGCUACGGUCUCCUCAGGACAAUUCUGUUCAAGUUGUAUGUUCAAGCUGUAUGUCUUCAGACCUUACUACUUCUCCUUCGUGGUCUGCCCAUCCGUCCUUGAUGAUUUGCCUCCUCUGGUUGCGGUUGUGUUGUCUUCUUCUUGUCCUGACCUGCUUAGAGUCUUCAACUAUAUAGUUAGGGUCAGUUCAAUAGCGGCGUACCUUCUCAGAGGGAAAGUACAUGUGGACUUCUCCGGUUCCAAUGUAGAUGAUUGCUUUAAUGGUGCUGAGGAACGGUUUCUCAAGGAUGAUGGGUGAGUCAUACUCGUCUUCUCCCAUGUCAAUAACCUUCAACCUUUCGGAAUGUCUGAUCUGCCAUGUCGACGAUCUUGACCUCCUUGAACUGCAGUGACCAUCUUAGCUGACUCAGUCUACAUUUGCUUGUUCUUGUUCCUCCUGUUGGUCCUCUUCCUUGGUUCAUGUCGGGAUUGCUCUGAGAUUUGUGUAGUUUUGUUCUUGAAGGAAAACGUCUCCUUCGUCCCCUUGACAUAGAAACUGAUCUUGGCAGCACUAGCGUAGAUGACUGCUCCCGAGGUGUUCAGGAAUGGCCUCCCUAGGAUGAUGGGUGCCCUCUCAUCAGUAUCAGUCUCUAUCACCACGAAGUCUGCUGGAGCGUAUAAGGUACCAACUCCGACGUAGAGGUUCUUCAAUAUUCCCUUUGGGAAACUUAGUGUCUGAUCUGCAAGCUGCAAACACAUGGUUGUUUCUAGGAAAGGAUGUGUAAAGAAUUUUUCAUAGAGUACCCUGGGCAUAAUGUUGACGCUGGAGCCAAAGUCGUAGAGUGCUUCUAGGAAGUCCACCAUGACGAUGGAGAUCGGGAUGACGGGACGUCCUAGAUUGUAUCUCUUGACCGGCAGAAGGUCAGUAAUUACUUCCACAAUAGGGUUACUCCAGUAGUUACGUCCUCAAGCAUCUCAGGGCAGUGAUUGCCUGAGUGUCCAGUAUCUCCAGUGUGUUUGUGCUCGUAGAUCUAGGUUCUUCACUUGGUGGAGUCUGGGAGUUGUAAAACUCAUUCAUAUUUUGCUUUAAGUGUACCUGCUCAUAGAGACAAGGCAGAGAUCAAGUGCAUGGGCCCUGUUGGUGGAAAACACCAACAGAACCAAAAAUGUAUUUGUUCUUCUCUAACCUUAAGCAUAGUGAGCAAGACAAACUUGAUGGAUAAUAAGAGCAUGAAUGUAGCAUUUAAAACAUUUGUCAGAUCAGAUCACUCAACCUUAUGGAAAGAUAAUCUAUCUAACUUUAUCUUGUUUAUAUAUAUAUAUAUAUAUAUAUAUAUCUUCCAAAGAUUGAGUGUGCAACAUUUUAGCUCAUAUGAUUAGGAGUGUGGGAUCACAAAGGUGGAAGGACUAAACAUGUUGAAUCGAUUAGGUUGGUUAAUCUAGAGUUGUAAAUCAUACAUGUUUGUCUCUUUUAUUCAUGUGAACGCCAGAACCAAGGAGAAGCUUAUAAAAGUGAUAGUCAAGUACUUUAAGAUGUUACCUUACUUGAAGAGUGAUGGUACAGUAUCACCUUGUGGAAGCUUUCCUUUCUUAGCGGUUGUGCAACGUGUUUGUGGCACCCUCCAUGGAUCAUCUCUUGUGAGCUAUGCCUUCCUUGUGUAAAUUGUCAAACUUCAUGUGUCUCUUUCUUUGUCUCCAAUGUGAGUUUAUCUCAGGACUUCCCAGGUCGAUAGUGAAAGUUUUCCUGCAGGGGUUAGUCCAACAAAAUAUCCAAUAUCUACUAUAGCAUACUAUCGGCUCAAAAAUCAACCUAGACACCAUGUCUAAUUUGAUUUAGGAGGGUAUUUUAACCUAAGCACCAUGCUUAAUCUAAAAUCCCUUGGAAGUAAGAUCAUCAUUCCUAGCUAAGCACCAUGCUUAAUUAAGAGAUAAAUGAAACUACUCCAAACCUAGACAUAUACUAAAGCAAAUAAAGGUGGCAUGAGAGCAUUUAUAGAGAUCUACUCAAGUGGAGAUGAAGUAGUGUGAUUAGUAUUUAACAAAUUGAGCAUGUCUCAAAGGUAAGGACAACCAACAUAGCAACAUGGCAAAGGAUGUUUUUAUGUAAAGUACUCCCCCAAGCUUGAAUUUUGCAAAAUUCAAGUUUGGAUGGAUUUAAUUCAAUGUUGUAUGAUGAUUGGUUGUACAUACCUUGUGCUUGUCAUUCAUCCGAUCUUCUUGCUCCAAUCCUAGAAAGGUUAGUGACAAGAAUACCCGAAGGAAUAUUUUUACAAUUAUCCUAAUAUGCUCAACACACAAGGUAAUGUUGCAAAUAAUUAAAAGCUCAUGUUAUGAUCUGAUCAGUGCUUGUUUUAGGACACUAAGCUUGUCCUUGGGAAACCAUCAGUUUAUGUCAGUGAAGUGGUUUCCCCUCCAACGCUGACUUAUAUCAAGAUCAACUCAACGAGAUCUGCAAAAUUUAUUAUAGACAUAUGCAUCGACAACCGCCCUUUUAAAGUUUUUAUAAAUAGAAAGGAAGUGGGGGUUGGAGAUCUCGAAUGUGGUGAUGUUGGAGAGACCAAUGGAUUGUGAAGAUGUUGCAUAUGAGCAUGGAGUAAAUGAAGUGGCUAUGAAAUAAAUUCCAUGCUCAUUAAUGCUUUGAGUGAAAUCCAUGUGGUACGGUGAAAAUGAUAAGGUGAGUGUGGUAAAAAAGGAAAAGAAAAAGGAUACACGGACGACUUGGUUCGAAACUAGCACAGCUACCGUUCCCCGGCAACGGCGCCAGAAAGCUUGUUGGGUAUUUUAAACGCAAACAGAAAAAUCCGCAAGCGCACGGAUACCGAUGUAGCCUUCACCCGGGAGUAUUCCAGAGUAUCGAUUUUCCACAGGGAACGUGAGUGUACUAAUUAAGAUCCAAAAUCGCCCAAGGAUAACUAUAUGAUUAUUUUUGGUGGGAAGAGAGGAAGUUUCCUGAGAGUUCUCUAGUUGAUCUAAGAAUCAAGAAUUACUUCAAGCUUAUCUAUAUCGGGACAUCAGAGCACUAACCACAGAAAGAGAUGAGAAGGGGGCUAGGAAGGUCUGACUACGGUCCUACAAACACCGAUCCGAACGUGGUGGAAUACGUCGACCGUUAGGGCUGUCACUACCCUAAGGCUACCACAACAAUCCGCAGGAUUGGGUGCAAUUCCAGGUAAUCGCAAGAAUAAACACCACGUCUAAUCUAUUAAUUACUACUCUAAUGUUUCAAAGACUAGAGCACUUGAUGCAAGCGGGAAUCCAAUAAAUAACUUGAAUGUAAAUAAAAGUAAUUAGAGAACUUAGGAGUUAUGAAUUGAAGAACCUGGAGAACGAUGAAGAACGAACCAGAUGCUGCAAAAGUACAAUGUUGAGGAAGAUCCGACAGAUCCGGCUCCUCCUCCGCUCUCCUCUUCUCUCUCCCUAUUUUCUAGAUUACAACUAGAACUAACUAGAACUAGAACUAGAGGAACUAGAACUAGAACUAGAUGAACUAGAACUAGAUCUAGAUGAACUAGAGGUAGAACUAGAAGAACUAGAGGGAUCCUCUCUACUUGGAUGAAGAAUUGAAACCCUAACUUUGAUUCUGUAGAAGAGGUAUGAUCUCCAGAGGCCAGGGGGUCUGGUUUUAUAGUCCCUUUAGAUGAAUCUAGGCCGUCGGAUCAAACUGACAUUGAUCGUGUGGUUUUCCUUGAAGUAUUAGGUCGGUGGAGCGUUGUCCCCGAAUUGGACUCUGUUUGGUCCAGGGGGGAGGGCGGGCGCCCUCAGGACUAGGGCGGGCGCCCUGUCCCAGAGGCCUCUCGUCUUCCGCUUUGUUCCCGUGGCUUCUGGAGUCUUCUAGAUGAUAGAAAAUUGCGCGGCACGUUAAUAUCUCUAUGUAAACCCGACGUGUGGGCCUUUCUUCCAUAAUUCCUGAUAAGCCCCUGCAGAAAUAGACAAACACCAAAACUUGUGGAAUUUUGUCAGAUAAAACCCUAAGUCUAGGUGUUGGUUCCAUUUAGAUCCUUUUCCAUGAUUAGUUGAUAGUUAAAUGUGAGCAUUAAGGACCGUCAACAGAUACGAAGCCCCCACCUUUCAGAGAAGCUGAAGAACCUCUUCAAGCUGAAGAAUGGCUGAACACGGUGGAACAAAAGUUCCGCUUACUUCGUUUGACUGAAGGUUUGAAGGCAGAAUAUGCAGCUCACCAACUGCAAGGAUCGGCAGGCAUCUGGUGGAAUCAGUAUCGGGAAGCUCUUCCAGCCAACACUGUGCUUGACUGGAAUCUUUUCCGUGAAGCUUUCAAGGGGCAUUUCAUUCCUCCUGGUGUCAUGGAGAUGAAGCAUACUGAGUUUAUGCAGUUGACUCAGGGCAACAAGACUCUGAAGGAGUAUUUGCAUGCUUUCAAUCAUAUGUCUAGGUAUGCUCCUGAGUUUGUGAACACGGAGACGAAAAAGAUUGCUAGUUUCAAGCGGGGUUUGGGCCCCAAAUUGCUGAAGACUAUGGGCCGCACUAAGUGUGCAACUUUCAAUGAGUUUGUCAGUGAUGCUCUCACUCAAGAGAACUAUAACACUGUGUACACUGCGACCAAGACUCGCAAGAGGGCUUUUGAGGCCGGGGCCGGGUCAUCUCAGUCCAAGGCUCCCGUGGCAGCUAAGCCACCGUUUCGUGCUCCAACGCCUAACCAGCGGUACCGCCCUCCGAUGAAGAAGAAUCAAGCCAAGACGGGUUUUCGCAAGGGGUACUCUGUUGCUCUUCCUAGGGGCAACACUGGUCCCAACUAUGCCAAGGCUCCACCUGCCAACCAUCCGUGCUGGAACUGCAAUCAGACCGGGCAUUGGCAGAGUAACUGUCCUUACCCGCCAAAGAAGGGCAACCAAGGGAACGUCCGUCAGGGGCGUGUUCACUACACCGCUGUGGAAGCAAUCCCUGCUGGUGAGGUAGUCACGGCUGGUAAGUUUCUGGUUAAUCAACAUGAUGCACUCAUGCUUUUUUAUUCUGGAGCAUCGCAUUCCUUUGUGAGUUCUGAAUUUGUGUCUAAGCAUAGCAUCAAGGCCAUUACACUUGAUAAGGGCAGUUAUUGUAUUAGUGCUGCGGGGAAUGAUAUUUCCACCAAUCAAGUGGUUUUGGGGGCAACUCUGGAAAUAGGAGGCCGUCAGUUUCUUGCUGAUUUGGUUGUUCUACCCGGUGUGGGCAUAGAUGUAAUUCUGGGGAUGAAGUGGAUGAGUGGCAAUGGAGUUCUUAUCGACACCACCACUCGUGUAGUGAUGUUGAAAGACCCAACUACCAAGGAGGCAUUUCUAGUGCAACUCCCUCGUGAUAUUCAAAUCCGUAGCACUGUGAAUGCAGUUACAUCUAAGGCUAUUCAGGAUAUUCCGGUGGUGUGUGAGUUUCUGGAUGUUUUUCCUAACGAUCUACCCGGGCUUCCUCCGGAUCGGGAUGUGGAGUUCAAAAUUGAAUUGAUUCCAGGUACCGCGCCUAUCUCUAGAAGACCUUAUAGAAUGCCACCCAAUGAAUUAGCUGAGCUUAAAACCCAACUAAAUGAGUUGUUGAAGAAGGGUCUUAUUCGUCCUAGUUCUUCUCCUUGGGGUUGUCCGGCUAUCUUUGUGAAGAAGAAGGAUCAAUCGUUGCGCAUGUGUGUGGACUAUCGUCCCCUAAAUGCGGUGACUAUCAAGAACAAAUACCCUCUUCCUCGCAUUGAUAUUUUGUUUGAUCAGUUGUCUAAAGCUAAGGUAUUCUCCAAGAUUGAUUUGCGAUCUGGGUACCAUCAGAUCAAGAUCCGUCCUGAAGAUGUACCUAAGACAGCUUUCUCGACGAGGUAUGGGUUGUAUGAGUAUCUUGUCAUGUCCUUCGGUCUUACAAAUGCACCUGCUCACUUCAUGUAUCUCAUGAAUUCGGUGUUCAUGCCCGAAUUGGACAAGUUUGUGGUGGUCUUCAUUGAUGAUAUCUUGGUAUAUUCCCGCAAUGAAGAGGAGCAUGCAGAGCAUCUGCGUAUUGUGUUGUCGCGUUUGCGCGAACAUCAGCUUUAUGCCAAGUUUAGCAAAUGCGAGUUUUGGCUAAAGAAAGUACCUUUCUUGGGCCAUGUCUUAUCUGAAGAAGGCAUAUCGGUGGAUCCGGCUAAGGUGCAAGAAGUGCUGGAUUGGAAAAUUCCAACUUCGGUACACGAGGUUCGAAGUUUUCUUGGUCUGGCAGGAUAUUACCGUCGAUUUAUUUCGGAAUUCUCCAAAAUAUCCAAGCCUUUGACUCGCCUACUUCAGAAUGAUGAGAAGUUUGUGUGGACACCUGAGUGUGAAGAGGCAUUCCACAAGUUGAGGACAUUGCUGACAUCAGCUCCUGUCCUAGCUCAACCUGAUAUCGAAAAGCCCUUUGAUGUCUUUUGUGACGCGUCGGGCAUUGGUUUAGGCUGUGUGUUGAUGCAGGAAGGUCGCGUAAUCGCGUAUGCCUCAUGCCAACUUCGAAAACAUGAGGUCAAUUACCCUACUCAUGACUUAGAAUUGGCAGCCGUUGUUCAUGCUUUAAAAAUCUGGAGGCAUUAUUUGCUGGGUAAUCUCUGUAAUAUCUACACCGAUCAUAAGAGCCUCAAGUAUAUCUUCACUCAACCUGAACUGAACAUGCGACAGCGAAGGUGGCUUGAGUUGAUUAAAGAUUAUAAUCUUCAAGUGCACUACCAUCCGGGCAAGGCAAACGUGGUGGCGGACGCCUUGAGUCGAAAAGCGCACUGUCACUCAAUCCAAAUGGAAGAUUCGUUGUUGUCACAUCUUAUGCAUCCACUUGUGCUCAACCAGAUUUCUCUAGAAAGUACCAUUCGCAAUCGAGUCAUCGAAUUGCAGCAGACAGAUGUAGGCAUCCACCAUAUAAAGAGGAAAAUGGAAGAAGAAGAAACCAAGCAUUUCCGAGUCGAUGAGAACGGAAUUCUUUGGUUCAAGGAUCGACUUGUGGUCCCAAAAGACCGUGAGCUGCGAAAUCAGAUCUUAUCUGAGGCUCAUUCCUCCAAAUUGUCUAUCCAUCCUGGUAGCAGCAAGAUGUAUCAGGAUUUGAAACCUCUGUUUUGGUGGACGAAGAUGAAAAAGGAGAUAGCUGCUUUUGUCGCUCGUUGUGACAAUUGUUGUCGUGUGAAGGCUGUUCACAUGAAAGCUGGUUUGCUUCAACCCUUGUCAAUCCCUGGUUGGAAAUGGGAAGAAGUCAGCAUGGAUUUCAUCAGUGGACUCCCAACUUCUGUUAAGGGGUAUGACUCCAUCUGGGUGAUUGUAGAUCGUUUGACCAAGGUUGCUCGAUUUAUUCCAGUUCGAACUGACUAUCGUCCACAUCAGUAUGCGGAGUUGUAUUUCGAGCACAUUGUUCGUCAGUAUGGUGUGCCUCGAACAAUCAUAUCCGAUCGUGGACCACAGUUCACUGCUCCUUUUUGGGAAUGUCUGCAUGAGCAAAUUGGUACUCAUUUAGUCCGCAGCUCUGCUUAUCAUCCCCAGACAGUUGGCCAAACUGAACGAGUUAACCAAAUCCUCGAAGACAUGUUGAGGGCAUGCGCUCUCUCUUCAAAAGGUUCUUGGGUUAAGUGGUUGCCAUUAGCUAAGUUCUCCUACAACAAUAGUCAUCAGGAGAGUAUCAAGAUGGCUCCAUUUGAAGCCUUGUACGGUCGGAAGUGUCGAACCCCGUUGAAUUGGGUGGAAGCCGGAGAGCGAAGGUAUUAUGGCAUCGAUUUUGUGAACGAAGCCGAGCAGAAAGUCCGUACUAUCCAGCAACAUGUGGAAGCUGCUCAAGCUCGUCAGAAAAGUUAUGCCGACAAGAGAAGGAAGCCGAUUGAGUUUUCAGUUGGUGACCAUGUGUAUAUCAAGGUGUCUCCGAUGAAGGGUGUACAAAGGUUCGGAGUCAAGCGAAAGCUUGCACCUCGUUAUGUGGGGCCUUAUCGGAUUCUCGAAAAGAAAGGGAACGUGGCGUACAAAGUUCAACUCCCAGUUGCGCUUCGAGCUAUUUUCCCUGUCUUCCACGUCUCACAAUUGAAGAAGUGCCUUCGCGUACCGGAAGAACGAGUGGAAGUACGAGAUAUCAAGCUGAAGUCAGACUUGGUGUAUGAGGAGAAACCUGUGGCGAUUCUUGAUCGCAAGGAACGGGAGAUGCGUAAUCGUGUGGUUAAGCUCUACAAGGUAUUGUGGAGCAACCAUGGGGAAGAAGAUGCCACUUGGGAGACAGAGGAUUAUUUAAAAGAAGUUUACAAAACAUUCUUCGAAAAUCAGUAAGCUUUCAAAUCUCGGGACGAGAUUUUUGUAAGGGGGGAGGGCUGUAACACCCCAGUGUUAUGGUUGCAUUAAUCAUGUGCAUACCAUGAGCAUCAUCAUCUACUCAAAGCAUAUCAUGAUCAUCAUCUACCUUGAGCCAUGUCAUUCUAUGCUAAAAUGUGUUUUAAAUUGCUUAAAUAGGAUUUCUAUGCUUAUAAUUGAAUGAACCAUGCUUGUGUUUGUGCUCAAUGCCUUGGUAAUUAGUUUAUCUAUGCUUAACUUAACUUUGGGAACAAUGUUCAUGUUGAUCACUUCUCCAAAAUAUGCCUUUAAGUCAUACUUAUGAAAAUAGGCCCUAGAAACCUCUUUUGCUUAGGCUUUUAAAAAGUGUUCCAUAAAAUGUUUGCAUGUCAAAACUUUCUACAGAAAAGUUGUAGCAAAUUUUAUAAGGAACAAAAGUUGUUUUAUGGCCAUCUCAUGAAAAUGAUCACAAAUAGCUCAAAAGUGACCCACAAGGCAAAUUUGGGGCUGUUUCCAACACUUAGAAAAUUUCUCUAAGUCUGGAAUCACUGCAGUUUGCUCGAGGGGGUAUUGUUCAUCUUCUAGUUUGAAUUCUAGGCUGAAUCAAACUAUGAUCUUGUAAGCAAUGUUGGAGUACUCUUGUAGCUCUCCAGCAUAGAGCAAUUAGCCAGCAAAAUCAUCGAGUGGUUUAGGAGAUAAUCAUCGUGCAAAAUCGAGUUUCAGUCGGUGAUCGCGAGGUCUGAUGCAGAGCUGAGCUCGCCGUCGUGGACGCCCAGCGCGACAUCUGUCCGCCAGAUGGCGCCCGUACGCCGGCGACGGCCCCGCUCGUCAGGUCGUCGACGUUGGCAUGGACGCCACGGCGCCCCGCACUCACUCAGCGCCCGUCCAUUCUCCUCCUCCGCUCUCUCGCCUUCGCCUCUGCGUCUUGCUUCGCCUCCGAGCACCUCCAAGUCCGCCUCGAGCUCCUCCAUCUUCUCCACCCUUCAGUUGGACAAGAUCUCCCCGAGGUGAGCGGCAUUUCGCGAGUUCUCCGUCGUCGGGUUCGCGGCCGUCGCGACACCGACUCCGGCGAACCUCGCCGCUGCUCCACCCUUGCUUCCUUUCUUUUCGCUGAGUAGCGUUAGGUUAUGCUUAGGUCUUGGCGUCGGUCCACACCACGUCAUUUCGGCUAUGGCCUCACCGUCGCGCGGGAACAUGGCCGCUGCACCGCCGUGCUCACCGCCGACGAGCACCUCGCACGUGAGCAGGUUCACCGAAGCCGUUAGGGUUAGGCGCUCCUACCUCGAAAGCUCCACGCUGACUCACUGAUGCUGUAGCCACCCUUCCCCGAUGCUCUACCGGUCGGAGAUGGCCGGCGUAAGCCGGGGUAGCUCCGCCGUGCCGCCAUGGCCGACGGCGACCCCUCUCCGUAGCCGAAACCCUAGCGCCACCUACCUCAAUCGACGCGGAAUCUUCCCAGGAGCACGUUGGUGCCCUUGGAUCCGCCGGAGGAGCCCACCGUCGGCGAGCGUUUGCCGGCGAAAGAGUCCUCUGUUUUUGGUGUCACUGACGCGCGGGUCCCGUUUGCCAGUGACUCAACGGUCACCCCCUUUCUUUUAUUCAAAUCUGGAUUUUUGGCUUGCUUGCAAAAAUCAUAUCUCCUGUUUCCGAGAUCCAAAAAUUGUGAAACAAAUUUUUUGGUAUUCCUUGAGAUGGCUAGUUUUUAAUAAAAAUAUAAAAUAAACCAUGUUUUCUGGGAAAAUAUUUAUUAAGGAUUUAAUCUUGUUAUUCUUGGAUAAAUGCAUAUCUCUUGUGAUACUGCUUAGUUUGCUCUGAAAAUUUUAUGGUAGCCUCUGCCUGGUAUUAGAGUGCUUUGGUAAAUAUUUCAUGAUUUUUGGUGUACUUCAGCUUUGAUAUGCAAUUUAUGAUUGAAAUGUGGCUUGUUUCUUUAAUUAAAUCACAUAAAGUAAUUGGUACUUAUGCUGGUGCUCUACUUUGGUAGUAAACCUGUUUAUGGCAUUCCUCAUGUGUAAAUAAUCUGAAAUCUGUUGUUUGGCAAAAUACAAGUCAUGUUUCCCAAUUUAUGAAAUAAGCACCUAGCUACAUGGUAAAUAUAUAUCUUUAUUUUGGUAUGUGCAUUUGCUCUGAAAUUUUUAUGGUGUUACUGUAAUGCUAUACUUGUGUCUCUGUAAUUUUUGUAGAUUUUUCUGAGCACUUUGACUAGUACCUUGUAAUUAUGCCCUUUUCUAGAAUUAAUUAAUAAAUGCCUUGUUAAGUAAAUAUUUGAGGGUGAUCAUUUGGUGUUCUGGUAACCUGAUGAUAUGCUUGUGCUCAUAAGCCAUGUAGUUGGCAUGGUUUAUGUCUUGGUCAUGUCAUCAAAUAAUUAAUUAAAGGGUUAAAAGCUGUUCUGGGCAGCAAGGGAAUAAUUUAACUUUUGAUUAAUGAUAACUUGCUUUUCUGGGAAACUUGUCUAAAUCAAAGUUGUUGUAAACUUAUUGAACUAGCUGUGUUUUAAAUUUGGGAUCAUUUGGUCCAGUAGUUUGAAAGUUAUGGCUGUUCCAAGUUAGGUUCCAGAAAUAGGUGCUCUCUGUUUUUCUGGGACAGAGUAUGGAACUUUGUUUAAUUGACUAGUUUAUUUUACGAAUCUUGUUGUGAUGUUUAAAGAUGAUUUGUAGACAAUUUCAUAAGCUUUCCAGAAUGUCUUCACUUAUCUUUGUUGGAGCUGUCUAUUAUUAGUUAUGAUGUGUUUACUGAGUACUCCUGUUGUGUGUUGCUUACUGUUUUAGUAUCAUGAUAGGUUUUGGGUUAAGUAACUUGUUAGCUUGUGAGAGCUUGUUAUAACUGUGUUACUCCGUAAGUGAGUGCCCAGUGAGUCCAUUAUGUUAUCAAGCAUUCAUUCUUUUGUAUGCACACUUUCUUAUUCACCGAGCAUGUAAUAGGUGCAUCGGACGCGGCUGUCUCCUUCGAUCUGCAAGCGAAUCCCGAAGGCCAGGAGGGCAGCCAGGAGGUGGAGGUCCAGCAAGCCGGACUCGAGGAGCCAGAAGAAGAAGUUGAGUGCCCGAAUCACGAGCCGGCGUCGUUCGUGAAAGGCAAGCCCCGGAGCAUUCUAAGUCUCCCUUUACUUUCAAAAGUUUACUUAAUAUGUUAUAUCUAUUGAUGCAUUAAGUUUAGGAGUUGUGGUGAAAACCUUGCUGCACUUUAUUCCAUCCUUGUCCAGAUAAUUCAUCCUACCCUGGUUAUAGAGUUAGGAUCGAGUAGCAGUCUAGUCAUGCUUAAACGGUAGAAGUCGGGUGAUUUCCUGUCACCUGCGCGAGAUAGGGUUAUGUCGGAUCACGAUGGUCUAUAUGUGCUAUCGUGGAUGGAACCUGAUUAAUUUGACUUAAGCCGGGCGGAGUUUUGCAAGUUUGUAGUAACUCCGUCUGUGGCAGCUAAGGACCGAUCGUUGUACGUCCUCUUGUCAUGUUGAACGCAUGCCUAACACUUAGUUGGCCGGAUAACUCGUUCCGACCGCGAAGCCGAGUAGUAUGACUGAGGCCGGAAGACCGGCAAGUAUAAAGUGCGCACUACCGGAGGAAGUGCGGUGUGCGGGGGACCAUUGGCGUAAGUCCAAAGGCAGGUGAGUUAAAAUUCCUGACCUCUCUGGCAGAGUGGUAGCCCUGGGAGUGCGGCGCUGAUCGAAGCCGCGAUUCCUGAGUUGUACCAAAGGUGACCCGUUGGCUCUCCGGCAGGGGAUGCUUGGGUGAGUGCUAGGAAUAACCCUCCAGCUGGAUAGGAAUUCGAUUCGAAUCGCCGUCUCUCCCGGUUAGUGAGAACUUGACAGAGCAGCGGCAAACGUAGCAUCCACUAAUGAACUUGGUUCCUGGAAAUGAUGAUAGCAGGAAGAACAUAUGAUGAACUUGAUAUGGUUAUUAUUGCUUGUAAUAAUCAAGUGAUGUGUUGUAGUACAGGUGCUAAUCUAGUGGUAGGCUGAUGAUAAAUAAAUAUGAUGCUCUCAAAAUAACUUAGUCGUAAGUUAAGCUUUUGGCAAAAGGUGAGUCAACCAGCUCCACUUGAUAUUUAGCCUUGCAUGAUCCUUGGUGUCUUUUAUGUUUUACUAGACGGGUAAGUCUAGCUGAGUACAUUCUCGUACUCAGGGUUUAUUCCCACCUGUUGCAGAUGACAUCUUCUAUGACGGUUUCUGCAAGACAUGUCUCCAUCCCGCUGGGGAUGAGGACUAACCGUUGGGCACGGUUCUCUAACAACUUCGUACCUGUUGCUUUUGGAAGGAUGGUGUAGACUCUGGCAGUAACUCAAACUUAUUAACUGAACUUUGGAAAGUGUGUGUAACUAUUUUGCUUCCGCUACUUCGAACAAGUGUUGUAAUAACUUAAUACUCCGAUGUGGUGCCGCUUCGACGGCAAUGAAUGACUAUGUAGCAAUCGUUGUGUUUAUGUUGAACUAUUACGAUCUUGGUUUGUUGCGAGUUGGUUUGAAGUCCUUCGUGAUUUCAAUUGACUACCGGGAUUAUAUGGGCUCAAGUUUGGAAACUUGAUUGCUUGUCGAUCGUUUCUACACUUGAACUCUUAUAAUUUGGUCGGUUCUGUGACAGGUUUGGCAAGAUUUAUUGAGAAACAAAUAUAUUAAAUAAAAGAUGUGAGGACUUAUAUUUUUGGAGUAUGAUGAGUGUAAAGAACACCUUCUUGUGUUUGGGUAAUUUUAGAUUGCACAAUAGUAACCAAAUCAGAUUUUGGGAAGAUACUUGGCUUGGUAACCAGCCAUUAAAAUCACAUACCCAACACUUUUCAAUAUUGUACGAAGAAAACCCGCAAAGGUCGCAGAGGUCUUAGGCUCAACUCUACUUAGGCCCUGUUUGGAUGCAAAGGAUUUUUGAAGUAUUGGAGAAAUACUAUGAUUGUAUAAAAUACUUUGGUUUUUAAAAGCUAUUGGGUGUUUGGAUGCAAUAAAUCUUAUAGUCUCUAAAACCAUGGUUUUGUCAAAACAAUAGCCUUUUCGGAGUUUUAGAAACUCCACUCAUGACUUUUUUUUUCUUCUAAACCAUGAUUUUGUGUCUCUUUUUGCUUAUAAAAUCAUAGUUUUGUAAUACUACAACUUUUAAAAAUCGCAUCAUCCAAACAUGCCCUUAAUGUUGAACUUAGAAGAGCAUUAGUGGGGAACAAACUUCUAGAAUGGAAUCAUCUAGUAGCAAGGGUGUCCAAAACCUUAAUCUGCAGCAAGGUGAUGAUGUGUUUGUGUGGCGCCUGCUUAAGAAUGGGGUUUUUACAGUGAAGUCAAUGUAUAGCUUCCUAGUCAGCAAUAAUGGGAUCAAAGUGUCACUAUUAGUCUAGCGGCUUAAGGUACCUUUGAAGAUUAAAACUUUUCUUUGGUUCUUUCAAAGAGGAGUUAUUCUCACUAAAGAUAACUUGGCAAAAUGUAACUGAAAUGGAGAUAGGUCAUGCUAUUUUUGUAGUAAUCUAGAAACCAUCCAACAUCUCAUUUUUUAGUGUACGUAUGCCAUGUUUCUUUGGAGGGCAGUCCAUAUGGUACUAGGAAUUAAUCCACCUCUAAUGUCUCACACUUAUUUAAUACCAGCUAUGCUAUGAGUGAUAAUACUUUUAGAUCCUUUUUUUUGUUAGGCACAACAGUUUUUUGUUGGUUAAUCUGGCUAACAAGGACGAACGAAGUGUUUUUUUGACAAUUGUAGACAGAAAUCUCUCUUGCAGGUUCCUUCCAGGGGACACAUUGGCUCUGAUUUUGAGCCCAAUUACAACAAUGUGAGAAAUGCGGCAAUGCAACUCUUUGCUUUAUUUGGUUGACCUGUUUAUUUAGAAUCAAGUUUUGAGUUAUACUUUUCAUAGACUCUUUUCAAGUGUUUCGUGUUUUGAGAUGUAAUAAGCCUCUUGUUGGAGGAUAAAGCCAGAUUUUUCUUCCAUUAUCUAAAACAAUCAAUGCCCAAGCACAAUGCAGCUGCAGAGCAGCACAAAGAUGUUGCUCCACAUCUCAAGUCAAUUAACUUGACAUAAACAAAACAUCUAGGUCAGCCAAUUGGCAAUGCCGAGUUGGAUCGCAGCUACCAGAAAAGCAAGCCAAUAAGCCAUGUUUUAGCAAAAAGGUACAACAAAUUCAACUCACGAGGAGCCGGCCCAAUCUAGGGGAUAAUAACAUCUACGAGUAUGUCGACUCAUGUACAUUUGCAUCAGAUUUUAAAGCCGUUGUCAGAUAUUGAACAUUGAACCGAACCACAGGAUAAUUCAGAACUACGAUGUUGAUCAACAAUUCAUUAAAAAGAAGAGAAAAUUUUCUAUUUGACACUGAAAAUAAUACUGCUUUCCUACGUAACACCGAAACUAAAAUUCUUUCCUAUAUAUCCUCUACUCGAGUUUUUCUUUCCUAUUUAACAUAUUUCCAUCAGUUUGGACGGCUAACAGUGUUAAAUCCUAUGAGAAAAGUCAGUUUUACCUUUGGAGUUUUUUUUACCAGUAAUGACAUUCCAUAGUUGACAAUGCUAUCUUUUUUUUUUGAAUGUUUUUAUCUCGAAAUUCUAUGUUUUUUUUUCUUUUUUGCUUCUGAAAAAUAAAAUAAAUAAAAGAAUGAACAUCAUCUUAUACAUCUACUUGUAAUUAUAUUCAGUUUAAUAUCGAUACUUUUAAUCUCAGUCAUAGAUGACGAGACGGAUGGCUCAGUUUUGCUGCUGGUGUGAGACACGUAUACAUGUAUUAUUCCUAUAUAAUAUUAAUGAAUUUGUGAGAUUAUUUAUCUAAAGCAAAAUGGCCAUAGCAAAGGAGCACAGGCAAAACAGAGCACAACUUGUGGGCGCGAGGGGAGUACGAACGGAACAAAGCAGAGCACGGCCACCCAGCGCCGCGUCCGUGGUUAGGCGAACUGGGCGGGCGCGGCGCGUGGCCACGGCGGCAUCUCCCGCGGCGGCACGGCCAGAGCCGGAGCUUGCAGGCGCGACAGCCUUCUAUGAAUUGGUGCGGUGUCCUAGGCGCGUCGGCCCUGCUCGCACAUGCCUUGGCCGCCCCCUUGUCCGUGACAGCUGGCCUUGAGGCCGCGGCGCCUUGCCCCAUGACCGCAACGGCCAGCCCCGAGGCCACGGCCACGGCGCCCGCCCCCCAUGGCCGCGUCGGUGAAGCUGGCACUGUGACUGCGACGGCCAGCUACGAGGCCACGGCUCCUGCCUCUAAAGCCAUGACGACUGCCUGCUUGGCCGUGCGGGGCGCCUCCGUGGCCGCGCCGGCCGCCCCUGUGGCCGGGCCACCCUCCUCCAUGCAUGGCCGCGCACCUCAAUCUAGAGUUACGCGGAGGGGGGCUCCAUUGGAGCGCGACUCGAUAGGACAAACAACCGUGACUCUAAUGAUGCUCGAGUUCAUUUGCUUACCUCAAAGGGCAUAACAGUCUUUUCACAUUGCCUCACUUGGACAACUAACAGUGGCUGGUCACAAAACUGACAGAAAUGUCAAAUAGGAAAGAAAAACUCGAGUGGAGGACAUAUAGGAAAGAAUUUCAGUUUCGGUGUCCCAUGGAAAAGCACAUGCCCUCAUUACCCAUUCCCGUACCUUAUUCUUCAUGACGAAUUCCGUACGACGUGUUAGUCGCACAUAUAAGUCCAUUCAAAGUUUCAAACAAAGUAAAUAAAUAAAUAAGUGAAAUUUUACAAUGCUUGAGAAUAAUGAUAGCCCUUCAUUUUGUUAGAUCUGAUGGUUUAAAAAUAAGAUGAACCAAAUACAAAGAACUUAAGUUGUGGGCCGGAACUAAAGAUACGUGGACCCGGAACUGAAUUCUAAUUAAAUUUGGGAGGACACAACCGUAUUUUUAUGUCUGCUUCUUAUCUCAAAAGCGGAAGAAGCUAUACUUCUCAUCUUUUAUCUAUUGUUCUACCCCAGCUCCCUCCGGUCCUCCCUCUCUUCUCGAUCAAAUGGGCAUGCUUGGCGUACAUGGAGCUCCAUGGCUGUCAGCUUAUUCACAGCUUGUGUACGCCGGUAUGCAGCCGCACUCUUGGCUUGGGCAUAAUGAGCCUGAUCGUGGGGUGGAUGUGUCACCACUUGCGAUGGAGAUUGGAGACUUGGAGUCACACAUCGGCCAUGAAACGACAGCACAACGGCGAGGACUGGUUCAACAUGGAUGAGGAAAAGAAUAAAGUCCGAGAGAGGCUCGCCGUGGCGCUGGGGGCCAUCACCGAGACCGGUUCUUUGACCGUCACUGCAUAUAAUGAGUAGCAGCGAACCCUUCUCGGUAGAACGAGCAAGGAGCAGCGAGCUCCUAGUCCUUGAUUGCAGAUUGACAAAUUUCUGGGAAGACGUGUGGCGGCGUAGGAGGCAGGCGGUGGUGAAAUAUGGGACGACGGGCGGCGGGCGGCAACAACGCAAGAAGCAUCCAGCUCCUCGGCAGUGACAGUUUUGUUGUUUCAGAAUUUCCUGUUCGUUCCUUCAUGUGAGGAAGAAGAAGAAGAAAAAAUACUAAACUACCCUUAGUCUUACAGGAGAGUUUUUUCUUAAAUCCAUGGCUGUCAAAAUUUUUUACGGGAAGAACCGGUGGUUCCCCGUAACAAAGCUCAAUAAAUAAAUGACACAAAUCCCUCGAGCCCUCCAAAAGAGAGCAGUCCUUUUUUUUUCUGAAUUCGAAGUUCAAUUUCAAUGAAAACACAAAUAAACAAACCAAAUAAAAUGAUUGAUCACACUUCACACGUCGCUGAUGACCAUGCGUGGUCUCUCGACGCAAAGAAUCCGGCCUCAUGCAUGGCAUACUCAUCUGAGAGUAGCAUUCGACACUCCCAGUGGUCGCGAAAGCUAGCAAUCCCUUUGUAGGUGUACAUACAAUACAUAAUCACCUGCUGGGACGCAUACGGAUACAUACUUAUUGACGUACGUACGGAUAUACGAUACGGUGGGUAGAGUGUACGUGUGGAUGUCGAUCCAUCGAGCUAGCUUCGUCAGUUGAAGCUGAUGGGGUAGACGCGCUGCAUGUUGGGGUAGAAGAGCCCCCAGUUCUGCUCCACGCCGUUCUCCUUGAGGUUCUCGUUGAACAUGGAGAAGAGGA